GUUUGUGUUUUCUUUGUCGUUACUCUGUCCAAUUUUCGACACGAAUUUACAAACCAUCAUUAUACUUAUUUUGGCGUCACUAUUCACAAAAUUCCUCCAACAAGUCUUAAUCAAAACAGCAGAGAUAGAAAAAGAACAGACCAUUGCUGCACAUUUAAAAACCUGCUGAAAAAGGGCACUACCAACUAGAAAUAAUAUGUCAGCUAUCUAUUAUCUGUUUUGUUAUUGAGUUAUAGAAGAUAUUGUAUUCUUUAUCGCACUUGAAAGUGUUUACUAAAUACUUUUUCCUUCAUUAAUUCGUUUUAUUUUUGCUCAUUGAUAGGGGGUCCAAAUAUGAAAAGAUUUGUAUUUCUAUUUAGAUUUUUUCUUUGUUAUCCCCGUCUCUCUACGUGUUCCAUUUGGAUAGUUUCUGCCUAUAAAUUUAUUUAACUUGUCUUUUCGUUUUCAGCUAAACCUCUUUCAACAUAGGAAAUCGUUGUCUUACAUUGUAAUUUGGCAUAUGUUGUCAUCUGUAAGGUAGAGAUUGGCCAUUGACUAUUUUUACAAUUGUCUUUGGCUUUCAUGAAUUUUGUGGACAUUUGUAACUUAUUAUGUAACUAUCACGACAAACAAUUCAUUGUUGUAUGAAUUUUAUAUUCUCCUUAGUCCACAUGUAAAAGAUAUAUAUAGCAAAUAUUGAGUUGAGGAUAUAAUUUAUGAAAAUUUAAUAUAUUUAACAUACGAACAUUACUUAAAGAAUAACCUAGUCCGUGCAGACUAGUUCUUUAAUAAAAUAAUAUUACACUUUAAUAAAAGUGGGAAAGUUUAUUUAAAUAUGCUGAAUUCUUUCAUUUUCUUCAGGUUCUUUUAAAUUUAGAUUUUUUUGUAGUUUAUAAUUCCUUCUCCAUUUUCUUCGCAGCUUAUGGCUUUCAACAUUUUUGAUAAAUAAUGCUCACCGUGGAUGAUAAAGUGAUUAGAUAUAUGCGAUAUAGGAUGCCUACGACAAUAGUUCACUAUGAAUAACAUUAUUCAUUAAUUAAUCAUAUUUGAACUCCUAAUCUUCGUGGUAAGAUUUUGUACAAAAUGCUUUCUAAAACCAUGCCACCCUAUAAGCAUCUUUGUGUGUUUGGAUAUUUUUGUUAUGCUCACACUAAGAUUGCAAAUUGUCGGAAUUUGCUCCCCGUUAUGUCAAAUGUGUCUUUGUUUUAUCACCCUUCAAAAUGUUUGGUGUAAGGUUUCGAUUUUCACCAAAUAUACAAAACUAAGCAUGCCGAAAAUUUCCAAAGACGUUCUGCAUCAUGAAAUUCAGAUAAGUGAAAAGCAUUUAUACAGAUCAUUGCACGACACGCCACUGUAGAUGUCUAAAACUCAUCUUCACUAUAACUCAACAACUUGGAAUUCUCAAGCCUCAAUAUCAAGCGUGGUAGCAGAGCCCUCAAUGUCAUUGUCUAAAACUCAUCUUCACUAUGCCUCUACUUAAAAGUGAAUUUUUUAGUUUAGCCAAACAUGCUCCAAGGCCAAAGUAUCUCAACUCUUAAUCUGUUCUAAAUGCCAGGGUGAAGAAGGCUCUGCCUGAGAAAUAUCAAAAUAUGACGGAAAUACCCAUGGCAACAGCCUUGAUCUCAGCCACAAUAGCCACACUCACAUGCUAUCCUCUGGACACAGUUAGGCGACAAAUGCAAAUGAGGGGUACUCCUUACAAGACAAUAAUGGAUGCUAUUCCAGCUACCAUAAUAUUAAGCCCAUUGAAUAUUUCAUCAAUUUCACGUUUCUCAGAGUAGAACCGGAAGAAGUCGAAAAUGGCAAACUAAAGGUACGAAAAUAGACAAUUACAUAAUUCAGUUUCAGGAUAAUAAAGCAAUGAAUGAAAAAUAUCUCAUAAGUGGGAAAAUUUACUUAAACACGAGCACCUACACCGGUUUACAUUUAAUGGAUGCUAUUCCAGCUACCAUAAUAUUAAGCCCAUUGAAUAUUUCAUCAAUUUCACGUUUCUCAGAGUAGAACCGGAAGAGUCGAAAAUGGCAAACUAAAGGUACGAAAAUAGACAAUUACAUAAUUCAGUUUCAGGAUAAUAAAGCAAUGAAUGAAAAAUAUCUCAUAAGUGGGAAAAUUUACUUAAACACGAGCACCUACACCGGUUUACAUGAUACAGCAAUAAACACUCAAUAUUUACUCAACAACUUGGAAUUCUCAAGCCUCAAUAUUCUGCGUGGUGGACUGAGAGCCCCCCAUGUCAAUCUUGAUUUUUUCUUGCCCAUUUUCAUGAUUUGCAGCUUCUUGGUGACUCUCUCCUUCAUUCAACCUUUGAAACAGCAUUAGGAGGCCUAUUACCAUUACCACUAAGCUGGUUGCAACAGUGAUUUUAAUUGAGAGGGAGAGAUGGAUGCUCAGUUUCUGAUUGGGAUGGUCCAUGGCUCUGUACAUAUUAGCCAACAAUCAUGUACAUGUUUUGGCACAAACUUGAAAGAUUAAGCUCCAAAUAAAUUAAAAGAUCUAGGUAAAAAGGGUACCUGGGGCUAGAUGGAUAUACACAUUCAGAAAUUGCAGCUGUAAAUUAAAGAAAAGUUAGCAUCAUUGAAGAUAUAAAUAUUCUGCUUUUGGGUGUAAGGGGAGGCUUACGAGGUGGGUCUUCAGCUAGAGUUGCAGUGUUUGAGAAGUUACAGCUCCCCUGAACCUGCCCAUUUCUUUGGUAAUAGCUAUUCACAGCAAAAUUGCAGUGAUCCUUCAUAGUAUUUGGCUGAAAACAAGGGCCAUUUUGCAUAAUUGGAAUACAAUCUGCUCGAGCACCACUUGCAUAGUCAAUGUUCUUCUGAUAAAUCGCAUCGCUCAAUCCAUUAUCACAAAUGCAAUAAUAUUCAGCAUCUACAAAAGCCCAUAUAAAAAAAAUUAAAAAAUUCCAAUGAACAUAGACCAUUUUACACUAGGAUGGAUCUAGGAUUUUCGACAAGGGGAGCUAAAACUUAAGAAAAUCAAUGCAAUAAAAUUUUUGAUAAAUGACACAAAAACUACAAUUAUUUGGACUUAAGAUUGAAGAAUAAUAUAUUAUAUUUCUGAUUCCAUCAUUGAGUCCUCAUUGAGGCAUCCAAUCGUAUAAACAGAGAAACAUUAAACAUCUAUUCUUUAUUUCCCUUUUCGAGAAAAAAAAAAUUACAGUUUAGUUAUAAGGAUCAUUUCACUAGUAAAAAAUUAAUGGAGACCACAACAGAUCCAAGCUCCAAGUCACACCUAGGAAAAUUUGCUCCCUGAAACUGUCCGUAUAACUAAUGCUUAAGUUGCAGUAAAAUUCAAUUAAACAGUAAAAAAAAUUGUGAAAACUAAGAUUCCAAAAGCUGUCCUUGAACAGAUCAGAGAAAUAUAAAAUCUCCGGUCAACACACUCAAAAUUCAAACUUUAGACAAAUUGAAAGAAAUAGUGUUUCAAAAUUUCAUAAAUAAAACCAAAAAACAUUCCACGUCUGAAAAACAACAAACAAAAGGAAACACCAAAGGUUAGCCAGAUCUAAUGAAAAAUACAAUCAUCAAAUUACACUAGUAAAGGGAAAUUCAAGACAUUAAAUGGUGAAGAACAAUUUACGAGCGUACUUUUCCUUGUAGCAAGAUAUGGUUACAUACAUAUUAUGCUAAAUGGAAAUGUAAAAUGACACAAAUACCCUUGAUAUCAUAUUGUGCUAAAUGGAAAAAAAGGGCAAAUUUGUGACCAAAGUGCACGAAGAGAAUGGAACAUACAGAAACUAAUAUCAUGCAUGAGAUUGAGAACAUGCCAACUUUUGAAUGUACAUUACUUUACUAAGAAUAUGCCAACUUUUGAAUGUACUUUUAAAACAGGAGCUCAUAUAUGAGUCGGUCAUAUACUUUGAAAUUUAGAAGCAAGACUAAGCAUAUUCACAUUCCAAUCCCAAGAUAAUUAACACGACACAUUUACUUGUAAAAAAUUAUUACGUUUUGAUUGAAAUAUUUUGAUUCAAAGUUUCUCGCUUUGAAUUUUAAAUAGCGAGAAUUUGAUUCAAUUACUAACUUUUGUCACACAUAGGAAUGCACAUGAGCAAUAAAAAUAAAUGGUGAACGUUGGUUAUAUACAUGUAAUAAAGAAAAAGUGUUGUCGCAAAAAAAAAAAACAAAAAACAAAAAAAAAACAAAAAGAAUAUACACAUGAAUUAAUCAUUAUCAAAGAAACUUGAGUUUUUUGUUUUAAUAAAUGGAUAGUUCGGUCUGAUUUUGAGAGAUUAAAUUCACUGUUAUUGUGAAAAGGAAUCUAUUGUCAACACGGCUUGAAAAUAAUUCUUUCGUGUCAAAUUCAAUUUAAUUUUCCAAUGAGAUUUUCCAAUGAAAGUUUCCCAAAACACUCAUAGAAUGCCAUGAAAUUUCAUCUUUGCAAGUAUCUCAUCUAGGCUAAAAUAUUUUCGAUGGGAGAUUGAGAAAAAGAAACAUCAAAUGAUAAAAAUCAGAUAUGUCUAAUUAGUUGGGAAGUGACAUGGCUUCAAAUACGAUAUGAGGAAAAAUCACCGACGACAUUGUUCAUCCUUUCCAUUUACUUCCAUACAAAUAAUAAUGUUCAAAGCAUUGUCACCUCUCCGUUCCAAAUGUCUAUACAAAUGAGCCUUCAGAAUCUCAAGUUUGGAAUUUUUGUUAACACAAAAAUUUAAAAACUUUCCAACCACAUGUUUUAUCAAUUUUUAUUAAAAUCUAUUAAAAUUUUGAUUUUAAUCUACACUAAAAAUUGCAUAAACCUCAAUUUUAUUUAUUUUUAAUUAAAAGACAAUUACAUUAUUUUCUUAAUUUAAAAAAAAAAAUAAAAAUAAAAAACCACCUACACCCCACCCCAAUAUUUGUUGGGCUUUAUUUAUUAUUAAUCUUUUUUCGUUGACUCUUAACUAAAGUAUAGUACAUUCACCUAACAUUAUAUAGCCGACGUUUUUACACUUGCACCCUAAAGUUGGAUCUUAUAUGGUACACUUCAUAUGCUAAGAAGGUAGAUCAUGUCCGGAUCAAAAAUAAGAUUCUUCAUGUGCUAAGAAUUUUCAUAAAAAAAUAAAAAUAAAUAAAUCAAAUGCUUAGACAAGUAUACUGUGCUGAGGUUAUUUGAGUCUACAAAUCUUGUGAUUGUAGACGAUGCAAUAUUUUCGAAUCUUACAUUUUGGAUUUGAAGCACCUAUCAUUUAUUACUUUUGUUUGUUAUUUCUAAAGUGGAGGAUGCAUUUAAAUUGAAUCGAUAGCAUUUCCAAGUAGAUACUUUAGUCAUACAUAUUUUAGAAUACAUUGGUUGUUUUUUAUCAUACAUUUCUUUUAUUUUGAUAAAAAAUUUCAUAGAUAUUCAUACGUCCACCCAAAUAACUUAAACCCUUUUUAAAGAUAACCAUAAAAAACUCUUGGCAUAAAACAACCACAAUUAGCCGAAAUAGAUGAUUUUAUUUUAUUUUUUUCUUGAAGUUUUGGCCCUAGCAAAUCUUUUGUCGUAUUUUUAUUAUUCAUAUUUAACACAAAGUAAAUUUUAAAGUCAAUCAAGCUUACUCUGCUAUCAAAUAAAGUGUCCAAAUAAUAAAUUUGGGGGUGAGUGUAUAUCAAAUCUCAGGCUCGUAACUUAGCUUAACUUAUGGAGGGUCCUAUUACUAUGAAUUCAAUUAGAUAUAUUGAUAUUUGAUAUGCCAAAUCAAUAUUGCUUAAACUAUCAAAUCAUGAAAUUAUAUAAAUUUUUGGAUUGUGCUCGAAUUUAAUUAUUUUGACUUUCUUCCAUUCCUAAAAAUAUCUAAAGCCUAUAAUAUAACUUUGGGUGUGCUUAAGAAUUUUUUUUUUUUUUUUUUUUUUCUUUCAUUGAACUUUCUUGAAUUACGUACUUUCAAUUUGUGGGAUAAGGAGCACUAAAGGUUUGAAAAAGAGGGUAGCUUUGAGAUCUUGACAGAUUUUGACUAAUGUUCUUUUUUUCUCGCCCAUGUUGUCCAAUCCUCAUUUUCGAAGAAUUUAAUGGACGUAAAUGAUACCACUUGUUCCCUUUCUAUUUGUGUAAAAAUGAUUGAAGAAAGGGUACAUCAUGUUCAGAUCAAACAUUUAUGUAGUACAGUCCCAAAAUGUCCGAUCCUAUGACAAGGUUAUGUGAUUAUAAAAAAAAAAAAAAAAUCAAAUGUCUAGAGAAGUAUUCUAUUGAAUUGAGGUUAUUUGAGGCUUCAAAUUUUGUGACUAUAGUAUAGACAAUGCAACAUUUUUACAUCUUAAAAAAAUCAAACAUAUGUUAUUUCUUUCUUAAUUAUAUUAAUCUUACAACUGAACAUGUUGUAUCAAAGCUAACAUAUGCUAUAAAUAAUAAAAAAUUAUGCUAACCACUAAAUCAAAUGUUCUACUAAAAUUAAAACUGUGAUGAUCAAGAAGAACUUAUUCUCACAUUUCAAGUUAGUGGGCUCGACUCGUGAAAAACAAUUUGAACUCGAUUCGAUCCAUUGCUCUUCUCAAAACAAGCUCAAAGUGCCACAAACUGAACCAGAUUGAGCGAGCUUGGCUCAUUUGUUACCUAGGAUAAUAAUAAUCUUGCAAUCAUGAUUUUGUUCUUAUUUCUUGAUAUUAAUGUUUGGUGGACAUAUGAGCUGGUCCACCUAGUUCACAACCCCAAGAAAGUGUUGGGAAAAAUUGGUGAUUUGUGUGUAGAUAUUUAUCAUAAUAUAAUCAAUUAGGCAACACAAACAUAAUUCAACAAUGAUAUAAUAUAAAUUGAGAAGAGGGUUAGAAAUUAAGUAUUGGGAGUCACGUCGAAGACACUGUCCUAAAGUCGUGAGACCUUCCCUUCCUGCGAGUUCUUUUGACCCUACACGACUCCAAGAUAAAACUCAUUUAGCUCUUCUUUUAUGGGCACGACCAUAGGGAGAUAAAGAACGAGUCUCACAUCAAAUUGUCACAAACUAUAAAAAUAUAAUAUAAAAUAUAGAUUUAGUAUUUUAUUUUUCCUUAUAUCUCAAGUUGUUUUUCUCAAAUGAAAGAACUCCAUUUUAUAGGGAUAAAUUUAAACCCACACUUAAACCAUUAAAAUAUAGGUUAACAUAUGUUUUAAUUUUAUAUUAAAACUUAAAAUUAAAGUGUUUUAAUUUUUUCAAAGGUCGAAACUUCUUUUUAAGAUAAAACAGAAGGGUCCUACACAUGUUGGGCGGUUGAAGAAAGAAAAUGAUGAGCAGCAUUUUCUUAAUUUCUCAGUUGACUGAUACAUUUACCGUGUAACCUUGGAUUUCUUAAAAUUUACCAACAAUUCAUCGUGAAAAUUGUAUAAAAGUUGUCCUAUAAAGGGUAUUUCCAAAAAUUAAGACAUUGAUUUUGCUUACGUAUAGGUGGGUUUCCAUCUGUUUAAAAAAGUGUAUAUUUAAAUUAGUUCUAUUUAUUAAACUAAUUUUCAAUCCAAAACAGGAAUCGUUUGCGACAAUAAACGAGCGUUUUAGACAAUUUACAUUCUGAAAAUUAUUAAAUUGCUUUAAUAAUUCUUACACGUCAAUUUAUUUUUCAAAUAGAUUCUUUGAAGAAAUUACAUUAAUCUCAAUACAGAAAAAAUUUGGAUGUGUAUUGUUUUAAGAUCAAAAUAUUGAAAAAAACUGCACAAUUAGAUUCAUGGAUAAUUACUGCUAAUCAGUUUAUUAUCUUUUGAAAAAUACUUCUAAUCAAUUACAACAAAUGUUUCCCAAAACACUCAUAGAAUGCCAUGAUUUCCACCAUAAUUGAAUUUUCAUCUUUGCAAGUAUCUCAUCUCGACUAAAAUAUUUUCAAUGGGAGAUUGAGAAAAAGAGAUGUCAAAUGGUAAAAAUCAUAGAUAUCUAACUAGUCGGUUAGUGACCCAAGGAGAUGGAGGCUUCAAAUACGAUAUGAGGAAAAAUCAUUAUUAUAUUAUAUUUUUAUUAUUAUUAUUUUGGGUAUAUUAUGAAGGCUGCCACAAUUUUUUGGGAGGAAAGGAUGAAAUUAAAAAUGAGAAAAACAAAGCAUAUUUGAAAAGUACCUUAAAACUUUCCUCUAAAAAUCUUCUAGAUAACCACAAUAAAUUCCUCUAUGAAUAUUUAAAAUUUCAGUAUCGUCCUUGAGCUUCUUAGAAAUUUCAAAUGAGUCCCAAUUUGAUUUUAUAGCAAUAAUGUUGGGCGAUUUCAUUUAUGGUAACCUCUGAUUAGCAGAUAUUACAAUUCUUUUCUGUAAUUAAAGAAACUUAAAGUGACAUUCCCUCAAUAUUUAAUUUUUAUUUAUACAUCAUACUGCAAAGGUAAAGCAACUUUGACAGAAAAUGUUGACAGAUGCUUUGAUAGAAUGAGUGUUGACAAGAUAUAAUUGGAUAGAAAAGUCGACUGUAUUUUAAACAGUUUAAUAAUAUGGUAUCAUGUGGCGCUAUGUCAAGGAUUACACGAAUCAUUAUGUUACUAUAACAUGAUUCAUUUCAACGUCCAAUAUAACAUGAUUCAUUUCAACGUCUAAUUCAUCAUCUGCAAAUCAGCCCUUCGUAUGUUAUGAUUUAAAUUUAUUGUGGAUUUAAAUUCUAGGUUUGUGUUCUUCAUUGACUAAGAGCCAAUAUGUUUAUCGACUGAUUCUUUGUAGGUGUUACCGAUCGUUGUUAAGAAUCAAUCGAAUAAUUGACGAUCUGUUAAUAUUUGGAUGGUUAAUUGAUUGAUUGACUUUGAAUGUACAACUAUUUUUUUCUCCCAAGGAAAAGUGACUCUUUAUGCAUGCUAUUCUUUUAUAUUUUUGCCGAACAAAUUGGAAAUGUGUGGUGACUAUUCAAGCACACUGUUAUGGGGCACGAGUUGAAUAACUAAUAUACAAUUCUUAAAUAUACCUAUACAGAAUCGUAUUUGAAUUCUGCAUGAUUUUGUACGAAUGGAUCCAUUGAAUUUCACGAGGGUUUUCAGGAUUGGGAGAGCACAGAUCCUCCUUUGUUUGUUUUGUUUUAUUUUUUAUUUUUUUAACCCUAAGAAUUUCUUUCAGUUUAGAUUUUUAAUUAGUUAUGAGUAUAUAUGGGCUAUUAUAUUUGUAACUGAAGUUUUUACCAAAUAAAAUACAGUUUUUUCAACGUUCUGAGCUUUUUAUUGAUCAGCCUAUUAAUAAACUAGUUCGAUUGCGAAAAGUUUUGAAAAUUCCAUAUUAUAAUUUGUUUUAUUGAGAUUCUCAUCAAUGUAAAAACUCUUCUAUAAAUAUGGCAUGAGUAGGGGAUGUCAAAGCUAAAAUUGCAGGAGUAGGUUGGGCUUCUGGUGUAUUUACUGGGGAAUUGAUUUUGUAGUAGGCUCGCAGGGCCGGGUAUUUGGGUUUUUGUGUUAUAAGACUGAUUUAGUAUGGGGCUUGGCAAAGUUGAAGAGUGGGCCGGGGUUUGCUUGGGUUUUAAUAAUGAAAUUGAAGGUGUGACAAAUGGAAAUUGCUCAUCAACGUAGAGAAUUUUUGGCUCCUACUUUGGGUUUGCAAAUAUGAUGCAAUAACAACGUAGGGAAUUUUUGGCUCCAUAUCCAGGGGUGAAGCCAGGAAUUACUAUUACGGUAGGCUAAAAUUUUUAAAAUUUUAAUGUACGACUAAAAUUUAUAUAUAAUAAGAGAAAUUCAUAAUAUAAGUUACCUAUUGAAGUUGUACUUGACGAUGUUUUAUAGCAUAAAAUUAAUCUAUAAUAGAAUUUAUAUCUAAAUUCAUAUUAAAUUCUCGUUCAAUGUUUUAGUGUUAAACAGUCAGCGAGAAUUAUUAAAUUGUAAAAUUCCCAAACAACUCAAGAAAAGUUAGAUUAUAUCGUUAUUAAAUUAUAUAAUUCCCAAACAAUUUACACCCAACGAUACAUUUCAAGUAAUUUCAGGAAUAUCCAAAACAAUUAUGAAAGAUUAAAAUUCCAAAAUACAAGAUUUAAGUCCCCCCCCCCCCCCCCCCCCCCCAGAAAAAAUUUGAAUUGAAGAUAAACAAACACUAAUACAAACUUGAAUUCUCUUAGACAUCAAUAUUUCAAAUUUACACCCCCCCCCCCCCCCCCCACCUUAAAAAAUAUAAUUGCGUCCACCAAUCUCCACCACAAGCUAACUUCAAAAAUUCAAUCUAUGCCCAAAACAAUCUGCAAAUUUCAAAUCUGGAUGUGAUUACUCAAUUUUUUUCACCAAUCACCCUAUUACUAGUAAAUCCUAGCACGAACAUCUGAAAAAAUCUUUAAAUAACUAUACAUAAAACAAGUAAUUAUUCUCAAAAAAUUAUUCAAAAUACACUAGUUACCAAAUAAACUAAUUAUUCUCCAAAGAAACAUCAUUCUACUUUGAAUCCUACAUAAAAAAAAGGGAUUUAGUAAAACUAAUUAUUCAAAAUACACCAAAUUACCAAUUCAAUUUUAACAUUCAGAUUUGAAAAAAAGAAAGGGUCCUGGACGGGACUCAUCGUCACUCACUGCAGUUAGUAAGGCAUAGGCUAGCAAUGAGUCGGCAAUCGACGGUUCCGUUCAGCGCGGCUACGAGCAGAGGCAGAGUAAAAAGAUUUAGGUAUUUUGAUUUUUGAUUUUUGGGAAUUAUUUGAAUUGGUUUUGCAAAGGAAAACGGGAAUGGCCGAAUGGAAAAGAAAGGAGAUUAUACGUGAACGGUCAGAAUAAGAAAAUGGGUAAUGAACUAACUAAUGAGUAUUAUUAUUAUUGGGCCUAAAGUUAUAUAGAAUUAGUGGGCUAUAGAUUAAAGAUUUUUUUUUUGAGGUGGGCUAGCCCACUAAAUUUAUUUGUUGAUGGGCUAAUGUGUCUAAUUGAAUACAAUUCAAACCAAAAAAAUAAUAAUUUUGUUGCAUCUAGACCUUGGUGACAUCCGCCCUUGUCCAUAUCAGUGAAUCAUAGGUCCAAAUCCUAUGAGUAUUCCUUAAAUUUUUCUCCUGAUUAUCACGUUCUUUGCAAACUUCCCCUAAAGUUUACAUAGGGGUCUCAUCUUUUUUCAUCCAUGCACAUAAUCGGAAAAACUUGAUCCGUGGGAUUUAAAUUGUAUUUUUGUAGGUUAUUCAUCUGUUAAACAAAAAAAUUGGGAUUUUUCUCUAAUUCUAUCUUUAGGGAGCCAAAAUCAUUAAUGGAUGAUGAUGAGUAUUUCUUCCUUCAACUUGAUGGACAUGAACUAAAGAACACAUCUUUUAGAAAAGAAAAACAAGAAUACGAUUCGAUAAUUUCUGUAAUCCUUAUUUAACCUCAUUAACAUCCUCUUCAAAUCGAUGUUGGUAAAAGCAUCAAUUUGUAAUCAUGAACUAGCGAUGGUGACAAUACUUGUGCCUCCGAAGAAAAUAUCCAACUCACGGCAAUCAUCUCCGAAAAAUAGUAAUGAUGAGAGACCAAGAACAAUAAAUAGUGCAAAAACAAUCUAGAACUACUCUAAAGACACUCCAGAGAGCUAUUAAAUGCAGACAGGGGCCUUUCAUCCCAUAAAUUGCAAGAGAGGCCCAUCCCCAAAUCCACCACAACCGACUGAAACAAGCCUUGAAAUUAAAUCCAAUGAAAUUCAAUAUACAUAAAAGAAAAACAGAACCUUGUCUCCUAAAGCUAAACAACUAAAACCUCAAAUUGUUGAUAAUAUUGCCCUAGUUUUCAGCACAAAAUUAGCCAAAACAGAUCCUAAUCUAAGUUAAUGUUUUUGCCUCAUAAGAGUCCCCUUCAACGACUUUCGGUUAACCCGGUUACGAAUUUUCUUUUCCUCUUUCAACAUCAUCAAUUCACAUCCCAAUUAAUUCAUCAAAAGAAAGGGAAAAAAGAAAAGAAAAAACCGACCACAAUAAAAGGAGGAAAAGCGGACAUCCAAUUUUAUGGCAACAUCGCCUUUGCCGGCAACAUUUUCAUGCCUUCUCAGGCCACACAAACUGUCGAUUCGGGCAGCUACAGAAUGAUGUUCGAUUUCUUCUAUUCAUAUAUCAUACGAUAAUGAAGAAAUUGAUUCAAAAAUCUUUAUGGUAUCAGCGGAAGAAGACCACGCAAAAACCAAGUUCGGCCACAUGGGAAGGAAACGGUGAUUUUGCAAAUUGGGUUUUGGUUACAAGAGGCAAAAACAGAAGGAAGAGAAUUGGUUUUGAUAUGAAUAAUAGCAUCUAGAUCUUUCCCUCCUUACUCCUUAUAAAGUAUUAGCUGGCAAUGGAGCAAGCUAAUAAAACAGUAUGGAGAGGAGAGGGGGCCUAACCUUUAUAUAGAAAAUUAUUGAGCUGUCCCAUUACGGCUGAAACUCUAAUUAAGAUUUUCAUAUAUUUUCGACCCAUAUACUUAAAAUUACCACGUUAUAUUAAGAGGAAAUUACACAAAUAAAGGUAUUUAAACUUUCAAAUUCAAACUUCAGGGGUAAGAUUUACUUCUACAAAAAUCAGGUAUUAUAUAUAUAUAUAUAUAUAUAUAUAUAAUUCACCCAAUUCAAUUAGAAACCCUAAAUCAUUUCCCCAUUUUCAAUUUUCAAUCUCGUCCCUCUUCCCUCUCGCUUCUCACGGCGAUAGAGACGUUGCCGCUACAUCGAUUUCGAUGUGAGACUAGCACUGCUGCAAGAGGAGCGACAGCAAUCUCUACCAAGGAACAUCGCUACUGCGUGGAGAUACACCGAAAGAAGAGAAGUUGCGGUCAGAGUUUCGCUGCAACAGGCGCGAAGCCGUUAGUUUUCUCUCUUCUUUUUCACGAAUCGCCUUCGUAUCCAACGGUGUCGCGAAUUUGAAGUCACACCGUUGAUUUGAGCUCUAGUGUCGCUCGACGUCGUCGUGGUUGUGCUCAUAGUUGAAUCACAAUGCCGUUUUGAAAGGUUUCUAGGCGCUGUGAAGUGGUUUUCUUGUGAUUUUUGCAGCAUGUUUUGUUGCAAUUCUGAGGCUGUGAUAGUGUGUUGUGGUGUUGGUGGUGGUGGUCGGUUUGUGAUUCUUUUGUGUGUGUGGUGGUCGAGUGUGGUGUAAAUGGAGAUAGAAGAGAUGGUGUGCUGUGGGUGGUGCGGUGUGCGGUAGUGGUGUGUUGUAGACGUGGUGGUGUUAUGGGUACGGUGAUGCUCAUGAUGGUGGUGACAGGAGACAAUGGUGUCCAACUAUUGUUGUGUUGUUGUCGAUGAUGUUGGUGAUCGUUGUUACGGUGGCGGUGACGGGUGGGGUUGACCAACCGUUUAACUGAUUUGUGAUAAAAAAAAUUUAACUGUCCGUGACUAAAAAAUAAUUUGUGACCAGUGACUUAUAUGACUUAUAGAUAAAAUGUGACCUAUGUGACCUGUAAUUUGAAUGAUCCAUGACCUCGAAAUAAUAUCUGACCUACAAAAUGUUUGAUUUGUGACCACCGAAAUAAUCUGUGAUCAAUUAAUUUGACGAUAUGUGACAAGUAAAUAAAUUUGUGACCUAUAAUUAUGAAUUUGUGACUAUUAAUCGUGUAAUUGUGACUUUAUUAUCUUUAUUUAAUAAAUAUUUUUAAUUAAUUAAAUAUAUACACCUGAUUUUUGAAUUUUCAAACUAUUUACCUGAUUUUUGAAUUAGGGUAAAGAUGACACCUGAAAUGUGAAUUUUUCCCUUAUACUAAAUACAACCCAUAAGGUAUAAAAUGCCCAAUUGAUUACUUAAUAAAUUUAAUCCAAUCACCAGAUCAUUAUGAGUCAUUCAUCUAACCUGUAAGAUAAAUAAUUAAAUGUGAAGCCCACAUUAGAAUUAUUCCAAUAUUUUAUGCAACAUCCUUCGUUGGCCCAACAAGCCAAAUUCCAAAUUAAUUGUUAUAGGUAAGAGCUUUCUCCAAUUACAGUAAUUUUUCAUUAAAAUGCAAGACCAUAAGAUGUAAAUUUACUUGUCAGCCUUUAUACAAUCAACGUACAUCUUUCCCUAAUCCUUAACAUUGAACACACUAACAUUACCUUCAAAAUAAAAUAACUAGUGCAUUGCAUGAACAAACCACUAGUAUUAAUUAAAAACGAUGAGUUAUACAGUGUAAUUUCCACUUGCGUUAUUGGCUUUGAUCUAGGGCCAAGCCUGUGCAUCCAUGACAAACUAAAUUUGUUGUCAUUGUUCUUUGUAAAUUCGGAGUCGACUAAUGUGUGUCUUGUUUAUGUAAACAAACAAAUAUAAAUGUGUGCAAUAUGAAACCUUUCCCCUUCUGUGCAUCCAUGACAAACUAAAUUUGUUGUCAUUGUUCUUUGUAAAUUUGGAAUCGACUAAUGUGUGUCUUGUUUAUGUAAACAAACAAAUAUAAAUGUGUGCAAUAUGAAACCUUUACCCUUAAUGAAUUUUAAAAUAAAAAGUUGUCUUUUAAUAGCACAUGGGAAUUCCUCACCUAAUUUAUUUUCUUUUGUUGUAGCUUUAUAUUUCAUCAUCAUUUAUAAAAAAGAGGCUACUUUUUCUAUGGCUAUAAACUCACCGUGAGAUGAUAAGAAAAGGCAGAAAAAGCAAAAGGGGUUAAGCUAAUGGAUAACUAAUAGCACCGCGAUCAAAGGCAAUAUAAUAGUUGUUUAUUUUAGAUAUAGAUACGAUAAUUAAAGUGAAAAUCUAAUUAUUAUUUCUAUGAGUUGACUGCCUUUUUAACUCACUUCAUGUUUCAUAGUAGUUUCCUCUAUAUCGGUAUAACAAUAAAGCUCCUUUGCCAAAAUUCAUUUGCCCACUUGAUUGAUAUCCACUGACAUGCGUGGAACUUGUAUGAAUAAAAAAUGCAAUAAAAAGUAGGAUCCGCCCCCUAUUGUGAGUAUCAGUCAGGAAGGAUAUCAAACCCUUCCUAUUACGGUAGCAUGGUUGUCUGUAUAAUCACGAACUAAAAAAAAAAUAAAAAAUUGAUAAUUUAAGGUAUUGGAAAAAGCCACUUAAACAGGCUUUUUGGACAGGGCGCCACAUGGUGCCCUCUAUUGGAGGGGCACUUGUGCGUCUAUCAGCUUAGCAUUUCUCUAAAGCAUUUGCAUUAUCCUCUAUAAGGGAUUUGAAUUUUUGAAGACGAGCUUGACACUGUGACAUUUAUUUGAAAGUUUUGAGAAGAGGAGAGAAUAGACAAAAUUUAUUUUGAGUUUUAAAUAGCCGUUAUUACUUGUUUUUUUAAAAAUUCAGUUCUUCUUUAUAUACGUAUAAGAAUAAGAGAAAUUAAUGGUAAACUUUGGAGAUAUGGUAUGUGCAUAAAUUUUAUUCAUAGUAAGUUUGAAAUUGGUUAAAUGCUAGAUUUAAAUAGAAAACUAAAAAGUUUUGAGUACAUUUUCUAUAUAUUCUAGCCUCUUAUCUGGGGUCCUACUUGAAACCAGUAACUUUAAGCCUUUAGUACCAAACAACAACCUACUUCUAGAAAUUGCGGCUGGAAUAUUCGAAAUAGUGAUUGCACUGUGCAAACAUAAGAAUCUACUUUAAAAUAAUUAGACAGAAACGAAUGAAAAGAUAUUCAAUAAAUAUAUUAAUGGGUUGAAUUAGUGGCUUUUAACUUUUUGGUCCACCGUCUCAGAGUGCAAAAAAGCGUAAAUUAAUGAAUAAAGUUAGAAUCUCAUACCUUUUUAGUACACUAAAUGAUUAAUAUUUGUAGUGCACUACAUCUUUUUGAAUGCUUUGGAAGGAGGAGAAUAGAAACAAAUUGAUUGCAAACUCAUUCAAUAAAAUUUAUUAGCAUAAUACUGCUCACUGGAUAAAGCAAAAAUUCAAAAAGAUUUUGAUUGGAUCUUUUAUUUCUAUGGACAAAAGAUUGAACACUUUCAGUUGUUUGGUUUGAAGAAAUCAUAGUCGACAUUUAAAGAAUAAAUUGGAAAAUGCAAGAAUUUAUUUAGUUCUCCGCAUUCUAGAGCCUUCUAGGAUAAAUGAUUGAUUUGCCUCCACCGACAUUGAGGGAUUAAACUUUGAUUUUCCAAUCUCUUAAUGUUCUUUGCCUUUAAUCACAAUUCGUCACGUCAACUUUGUCAAUAUUUCAUGUCAAAUUUCUCUAUUUGAGUAGUUUAAUUGUUAGAUAGAAACAAAUAAAAAGAUAUUCAUGUAAGACCAAUUAAUGUAGCCGAAGUAAUAUUAUUAAUGAAAGUAGCUUAUUAUUACUGAAAUCAUAUUGACCAUUGAAAAGUGACAGUUUUAUAACUAUCUACUUGGAUAAAAAUUGAAUAGUUUUUAUGGCCCAUGAAGUUGCAUCCUUUUCUGCAUAUAAACGUGAGUGGAAUUCAUCAAAUUAGUAAAUUCAAUUAUAGAGAGAUAAAGAGAGAGAAUUGUUUAUUUAUUUUACUUGUUUCUCUUGCGCAUAUUUGAAUCUUUCAAUUAUUGCCAUAGAUCAAGACAUGUUUUUUGAUAAAUUAAAUUUAUAUGUUAAAAUCAUGAAUUCUAUAGAUUUUGGUAUUAAAGUUUAACUGCUUGCUUACAUGUGGCAUCAGAGGCAAGAUUAAGGAAUUCUUGAUUUUCCUUUAUAGAUUAAUGUUUUCCACUUAUUAAUUAUUAAUUUUUCUUAUCGAUUUAUGGAUCAAUGCCUAAAAUAUAAAAUAUAAUUGGACCUGCUAUUACUUGGAAAAUCUGCCUUCUCUGGAUAAAUAAAUCAGCAUCGGUGAUUGAUUAUUUUGUGAAUUCAAAAUAACCUUGUGAAUCAAGAGCCAUUUUUUAUUUUAUUUACACUACAAUCAUUACAUCAAUUUCCAUUUUUCCACUAAAUGUCAAAUUUGUGCUUCUCAAACUAGGGAGUGUCGUACAGUACACCGUAUAAUCUCGUGCCAUAUGUGUUGAUUAUGAUUGGUCUGGGGAAAGAUCAUUAUCUGAUUUUUGCAUUUAAAGAGAUAAGUCGAAGUUGGAUUUUGCAUUUAAAGAGAUAAGUGGUUGUAACGUGUAAAAAAUUGACUCAUACAAACUAAUUAAUGGAGCAAAAUCAGGGCAGAAGUAUGUUUCAUGUACAGUACCGCAGUUAAUGGAGAAAAGGCACUAAAGUGCAUCAUUGUUAUGUGCAAUAAUAAUUAUGUUUUAUGUUUAAAUGUAUUUUCUUGAAUAAAUUAUAGAUAAGUGGAAAUCAAGUGGUGAAAAUGAUAUGAUAUACAGCUUUGACUUAGAGUCUACAUGAUACAGAUGUAGUAACCUUUUUAAUUAAUUAUUACUUUAAUAGCCUGCUAUAAAGUGUAUUCCAUUCGCAUAUAGAAUCUGAUUACGUGAAAUAAAAGAAUUCUUAUAGUCAAGUGAUGGAUUUAUUAUUAUUAUUUUUUUCUGGCUAAACAAGAUCAUGUAAAUCUGUAAAUGAACAUUAAGCGAUAAAUGUUAUACUUAUGUAAUUAAUGUUCUUAUAGUCAAGUGAUGAAUUUUUUACUUUUUUUUUUUCGUGGCUAAACAAGAACAUGUAAAUCUGUAAAUAAACAUUAAGCGAUAAAUGUUAUAUUUAUGUAAUUAAUGUUCGUUUAAUGUUGUUUGUUAGUCACCAAAGUGGCCAAACAUUAUGAUAUUGUGAACACUAAAUUACAUAAUUUAUUUGUCAAUUACUCUUGAUAGGUAUCAACUUAUAAAAGAAUAUGACAUUAGCAUUAUUGUUGUCAUCGGACAUUAGAAGAGAAAGUUAUGAUAAAAAUACUGAUAAUUACUCACUGUCGCUCGCUUCUCGCUGGCAUUUCGCUUGAGCGAAAAAAACAGAAUACCUCUCCCUCGAUUCUCACUGCCUUUCGCUCGAGAGAUAGUCCUAUGCGAAAAAAAUCCUAUUUUGCAUUUUUGAAGUGUUUUACUCGGCUCAUACCACUUAGACACCUUCAAAUAUAAAUACUGAAACCCUAUGACGAAAUUGAAGAGGUUGCUACAUUAUCUUUCAUUACAAAAAAUAUUCAUAACAACUUUGAAGAGAUCCAAGGUGAAAUUAAUUGAAAAUUUCAUCUACAUCAAUCUUGUGAUCCGGCAACCACUGUUUGGGAAAAAACAUUGAAUCUACAUAACCCGAAACACCUUACUUUCUUAAUCCAUUGAGGAAGGGACUCUCUCAUUGGAGGAUUGAGAGAGGUGAAUUGAGGUGUAGUUACAAGCACAAGAACGGACGGUUCUUGAUGUUCCACUUGGUGAUACAAUCAGCUAAGGACUAGGAGGUUGUAGUGGAUGUAGGAGGUAGAUCACGAAGUCUAUCAAGAGGCUAGAAGUAUCUACAGCAGUAGAUCGUGAGAUUGGAAUAGCGGGUCUGAUUGGGUACGGAGUUUGGUAUAACUUGUACUUGCUGAAUUUGUAUAGCGGAGGUAACUGGCUUGGUCCCGAAAUUUUACCCACGUUGGGAUUUUUUCGUCAUCAUAUUGUUUAUUAUUUACUGCUUUGCAUAAUAUACAAAUUGCGACAUUCCAACAUAGGUUAAUUGACUUGUAUGAUUAAUCACCUAGACAACUAAUUCAAGUGACUUGUUGCUCUAGUUAGAUUAAUUCCACACGUAAGGUCAAAUUGGUUAAAGUGAAAUUUAGAACGUAAACUUGGUAACGCAUAAAAUUUGAACUUGAUACUAUAUCACGUCAGUCGAACUUUCUAGCAUAUCUAAGAGUUCUAGGUCAAUUUUUUUUUCAAUGUUGUUGAAUUAUUAUGCUUAUGAAUGUUUAAAGAUAUGCUAUAAUAUGUAUGUUAUGGCCAUUCGGUACCAAAGAUAUGAUGUUUAUUGAGAUCUUACCGAUUUCUAAAGAUAUGAUGACAAUAUAAUACUUUGACACAUGUAUUUUGAUAUUUUUUUUGGGAUCGCAACAGUAUUUUUUGGUCCCACUGAGUAUGUCCAUAUACUCAUCAUUUUCCCCUACUCUUUACAGGUUAGAACGGAUCGUUGGUUGGUGGGUUGUGAUGCCAGAAAUUAUGGAACUCAAUAAUAAUGAUUCGGUGAAAUUUGACAAUAUAUUUUAUUUCAGCAUUUGUUUUAGUUUCGUCAUCAUCGUGGAAAUUGUUAUUUAGAGUUAAGAACAUGUUUAUUCGGUUGUGUUUCCUAUACGUUUUAUUUAUCAUUGGUGGAACAAAAAUGUCAUGUUGGGAUGUUGAUACGUUUAUUUAAAUUAUGGAAUGAAUUUUUAGUAACGAAUCUUAAAAUUUGGAUCGUUACUAGCAUUUUCUUAUUUUCUCAGUUGACUAAUACAUUUAUCAUGUAUCCUUGGAUUUCUUAAAUUUUACCAAUAAUUCAUCAUGAAAAUUGUAUAAAAGUUAUCCUGUAAAGGGUAUCUCCAUUAAAAAAUCUACCAAAAAACAGGUUUAUGUCUCUUACUUUUGCAUCCUCCGUUUGUAUAUCCCCUUUUUCCUUUUAUUCGUAUUCUUUCCUUUCUUUCUUUUUUUCCUGUUUGGAAGGAUCUUUUAAAGUACUAGAGUUUAGAUUUUUCGUGGUUCAUAAUUCUUUCUCCAUUUUCUUCACAGCAUAAGGCUUACAAACUUUGACUCUGUCAAGCAUCUAAUUGCAGCCAGUGAGAAAGAACUUCAAAAAAUCAUGGAGGAGAAUCGUAAGAAACAAGAUAUCACACAUUUCAGCAAUCCUCACUUGUAUUUAUUUUGUACGAAAUGUGGGGAUGAGUUCUUAUUAGUCAUCCUAGGGCUUGGCUUUAAAUUUUGUAAAAUGGUAUGGUGUAGUGGAAGAGUAAUUAGUUCAAUUCAUCAUUGCAUAUCUUUACACAUGCACUCUAAAACAUAUAAAAAUUAAUAUAAAAGGACAUUACACAAAAUAAUAUGUUUAUAUUUUCUUUUGGCCAUUCCUAGAAAAAUGCAAAAGAAUAACUUCACCACGUUUAAUUUAAAAUAGUAUUACAUUAACGACAGAUAAGAUUUAACAUCUUUUUAUUUUUAACUACGUUCAAUGCCUUCUAUCAAGUAUGCUUGCUCUAUGUAUAACUUCACCCUUUAAUUAAUCAUGCUUGAACACCUAAUCUCGGUGGUAAGAUUUCAUAUGAAAUGCUUUAAUAAAACAUGCAUAAACCUCUAUGCGUAGUGGUGGCAAAAGAGCCCGUCAGCUCAACGGCGCUCAUGGCUCGACUUGAAAAAAUGGGAUGACCAAAUCCGAGGACAGCUGCUAGCCGCAUGACCACAAAUAUAGGCCGGCACGUAUGUGGGCUUGUAUGGCCCUUCUUGCAGAAUUAAUUUUUUUUAGUUUAUAAAUUUACAGCCUUUGUGAAAUUCAACAACUUGCAUAAUUAAUUUUGUAGUUUGUAAAUUAAUGAUUAAUUUUUCAUCUAUUCGAGUAGAAAACAAAAAUUCAAAAAGCUCUAAUAACUAAUUAAACGCCUACAUGUGCUUUCUACUGAAAUAUUUUUGUGGACCCCACAAAUCAAAUAGCACGUAAAACAUAAAUACUUUGAACUGAUUAAAGUUGUUAUCUUUAGCCCUUGUUUGAGAUUCAUUUUUACAUUAAAAUGAAUUUUACAAUAGUAAUUUUUUGAAGAAUAUGUGAUUAAAAAGUAAGGAAAGUUUGGAUUUAUGAACAAAUUAUUUAUUGGUAAAAUCUGUGGUUAAAAAUGAAUAUGAAAAAAGAAUGAAUUAUUGGAUAAUGGGGAUCAAAUUGGGGCUAAGAAAGCGAAUUUUCAAUUAUGUUGAUAGGAAAAGGAUAGUCUCAUUUAAGUUGGAACUUGGAAUUUGGCAAACAUUCCCUCCCUUCAUUAUGUCGUCUUCAACGACUUCUUUAAUUUUUUAUUUAAUCAAAGAGGCUUAAAUAACAUUCCCUCAAUAUUUUAUUUUUAUUUCUGCACCAUUAUAUAAUCCCCUUCAUUAUGUUAUUUUCAACUAUCAGAGCUUCAACAGUCAACGUACAGUGGUUUAUAAUCUUUCACGUUUUGAGUUCAAUGAUGUGUUCUUCUAGUACAAAUUUCGUACGGGAUUACAGUUCAAUAUCUUCAAUUUUUUUCCAGAAAAGCUUUAAAUUACAGCAAAAACUUUAAAACCUUAUAUUUUCUUCAUUUCACGGCCAAAUUGAUUGUUCUUUGUGCCGUUGGAAAGAUUAUUGAAAGGGAUUUCUGAAAAACACCUACUACAGUACUACUAGGGGGAUCGAAAUUUGGCAUAUAGAAAGAAUGAGCAUACCUUUAAAAUUUUUGCUUCAUUCUCCUAAGUACAAAACUAAAAAUGCUGAAAAUUUCCAAAUAUGCAUGUUCUUCAUCAUGAAAUUCACGUACACUGAAAUAUUCAAGUGUUUAUAUGGAGUAUAACACGACAUGUCAUUCAUUAAAAAUGUCUAAAGCUUCACCAUAUUUGAUCAGUAAGUCAAUUCUUUGAAUUCUCAAACCUCACGCACUUUCAAGUAUGGUGGACGGAGAAACCACAAUGCCAAUCUCGAUUUCUCCCAUCGGCCCAUUAUGAUUCAAGUGGGUCCUUCUUGGCCAACACUUUCGAAACAGCUUAUAGCCUAUGACCAUUAGUAAGCCUAUUAAGCCAAUCGGAAGGAUGAUUUUAAUAGAGAGAGAAGUAUGGAUGACAAGUUGUUGGUUGGGCAAGUCCAUGGCUCUGUACACAGUAAUUGAAAAAUUAAGAAUUAUAUACAAAAAUCACACAGGGAAGAUGGUAAAGAGAAAAAUAUAAAAUUGUCUCAGCUCUUUCAUAAAUAUAACACGACUUGCUAAUUACAAAACAUUCAUGUACUGGUUUCAGCAUAUACAUGAAAAAAGCUGAAUAGAAUAAGGAUUUUUAGUAUUAGAUUAAGAGUUAAAAUGAGAGUAGUGAUGUUUACUAUUGUGAAACAAAUUCAGUAAAACCGCAUCUAAAUAUACAAAGACUGUUAUUCAAUUUUGCUACAAAUCUGCAAGUAGAACAUAACAGGGAAUAAGUAAGUGUUAGAAACAAAUUAAACUAGGCAUUAUUUCUGAAUAAAUUGAAAGAUUAAGUUUCUUUAAGAGGUAAAGAACUAGAUGGAUGCCAACAUUCUAAAAUUACACCUGUAAAUGAUCAAAAUAAACACAAAAACAGAGCUGAUGUACAAAAGUUAGCAUUAUUCGAGAUAGAAAUUUGCUUUUGGGUGUUUAGGGAAGUUUACAAGUGGUGGUAUUUGAGAAGCCUAAACUCCUCUGAACCUCUUACCAAAAUAUGCAACUCUUACAAAAUAAAUGCCUUUGAAACAGCUUUAGGAGGCCUACUACCAUUACCACUAAACCGGUUGCAAGAGUGAUUAUAAGUGAGAGGGAGAAAUGGAUGAUCGGUUUCUCGAUGGCUCUGUACAUAUUAGCUAAUAAUCAUAUAGGGGAGAUUCUAAUGGGGAAAAUAAAAAAAUUGUCUCUCAGUUCUUUUCAUUCAUAACAAAACAGUUAUGUACAUGUUGUGGCACAAACUUGAAAGAUUAAGCUCCGAAUAAAUUAAAAGAUCUAGGUAAGAAGGAUACCUGGGGCUAGAUGAAUAUACACAUUCAGAAAUAGCAGCUGCAAAUUAAAGAAAAGUUAGCAUCGUUCAAGAGAUAAUUAUACUGCUUUUGGGUGUGUGUGUGUGGGGGGGGGGGGCUUACGAGGUGGGUCUUGAGCUACAGUGGCAGUGUUUGAGAAGCUACAACUCCCCUGUACCUGCCCAUUUAUUUGAUAAUAGCUAUUCACGGCAAAAUCGCAAUGAUCCUUCAUCGUGUUCGGCUGAAAACAGGCGCCAUUUUGUAUAAUAGGAGCACAAUAUGCUCCAGCUCCGCAAGCGAAGUCUAUGUUCUUCUGGUAAAUCUCAUCGCUCAAUCCAUCAUUACAAAUACAAUAAUAUGCUGCCUCUGCAAAAGCCCCUAUCAAAAUAUAUAUAUAUAUAUAUUGCAAUGAAUUGAUGGAAUUCAAAAGUCUUACGUUAUAUACUCUAAUUUUGGAUAGCACAGAAUUCAAUUAAAAAAGCUGUCCACUCAGCCUACAUUUGGAGACAGAGAGACUGGUUCAACUUACUAUCUGAUUAACAUGAACAGAGGCAGGGGAUGGGGAUGGGGAUGGGGAUGGGGAUGGGAGAGAGUGUAAUUAUCAUAGGAGACAACUGAAACUCCAGCGAUGGAGAAGAAAAGUACUAAAGCUGCUAUGAAAUCAAACAUUAUUAUCUCAAGCUUCUUAACUAACAGUGAGAGCUAAAGAUUUUAGAGCAAUGCAGAUGAGCAAUCAAACAUUCAAAUCAUUUUUUUUCAGUUUUCACUAAGAAUCUGAAAGUAAGAACUUUAUUAAGAAUAUAACUUUUUAAACAUUCAAAUCAUUUUGUUGAAACCUUGAAUUAGAAACCAUGAAAUAACAUCCAUAAAAGGAGAAGAACAUAGGCAAUGGAAUCAGAAUAAAUUCCAUGAAAACAUCUCUAGUAUAAAGCUAGAGAGGAUAGAACAAAAUCAAUAUGCUAAAACCAUAUUGAUGAUUGGAGGAUAUCCAAUGAAUUACAAGGUAUACAAGGUCUUGUAUUUAUAGACACAAAUGUGGGUGGCUAACUAACUAGAAUAACUAACAUCCUGUUGGAACACCAUCUUCCAGCUCAGCUUCUCAUCACAGAUGAUCACUUUCUUAUCAGCAGGAUCCUGAAGAUUGUGUUUCUUUAUGUAAGCCCAAAUCUCCUUGAGAGCUUGAGUAUGGGGAAUCUCAGUGACCCCACCAAGGAAGGCCUGCAUUUCCGGCGAGACACGAUGCGGCUUCGUUAUGCCUCUCGGCUCGCGCUUCUUGGUCUCUGCAGCCGGUUUCGACGCGACAGCUAAAGUCACCGUGCGCACAGUAGCACGUUGGAUGGAACGAGCCUAACAGUAGUAGGAGAAAACUUCACCAAUGACACCGUAUCGCCCACAUAUAAGCUUGAGAAAACACCCACAGAAAUCGCCAUUAGAACUGAGGUCGGAUUCGUAGAAACAGGAUUUUGAACGAGAGUUUGUGUGAGAAGAUAAGAGUGAAGGGUUUCUCAUUCUUUGAAUGUGAAACAAUUGAUUAAACUCCGUGAAAGGAGAACAAAGACAACACUAAAGGAGGAAUUAACACUCCAUGAUAGGAGGAGAAAUGAAACACUCCAUAAAGGAGGAAGAAGAAACUCCAUAGAAGGAGAACAUGAAACCUCCAUAGGAGGAAUUGGAAUUCCACCUUCCAAUGAAUUACAAAUGAAUACAAAGGUUCUAUUUAUAGAGAAAAAUCUAACACACUCUCUAACUAAUCUCUAACUCUAGACAACGGGGAAGCUGAAAUUGAUCUGGAAGGAAUAUUUUGGAAUGUGCUGAGCUGGAAGAUGGUGUUUCAACAGUGAAGAAAUAAAAAUCAGAGCUAGAACAACAGAAACUGUCGAUGAUGUGGACAAGACAAUGAGCAGAUCGAAAAUAUGGAACAGAUUCAAGAAGCACUGUCAGCACCAAUUGGUGCAGCGGCUAAUUUUGAUGAAGAAGAAUUAGAGGCAGAACUUGAAGAGCAGGAAGGAGUUAAGUUGGAGGAACAUCUCCUGCAACCUGCCACAAUCGCUCCUGCUGCUCCAGUUCAAGUGCCCGCUGUAAAUAUAUUUUAGACUAUUUUACUUACUUUAAUUUAGUUUUUCGUAUUAAUAUGCUGUAAAUAAAGCAGCCCAAGUUAUAAUGAUCAAAUCAAAAUUUGAAAAAUAGAGCAAGAGUCUUACUAUUUACUGAUAACAUCAUGAAAAAGAAUAACGAAUUUGUCCAAAGAUAUUUGAUGACCUUUGAAAUCAUCAAUGAAAAACUCCGUUACGAGUCGUUGUAUCGGUGGUAAAAUGAAAUUAUUUUUUUAACCUUGUAAAAUUGAUAUUUUCAAUGUUGUCAUAAUUGGAGUUAAGUUUAUAGUAAGUUCCCUCUGUAUUUUACAUACAAAUUAAAACUUUAUAUUUUCUUCAUUUCAAGGCCAAAUUGCGUGUUAUUUAUGCCGUCGGAAAGAUUAUUGAAAGGGAUUUCUGAAAACGCCAACUACUACUCGAAAUUCAGCAUAUGGAAAGAAUGAGCAUACCUUAAAAUGUUUACUUCUAUUUAUAUAUAAUAUAGCACACCGCCACUCCCAUAAAAAUGGAUCUUCAAGCUGGAAUCCUAUAUCGGCUCCAUCUAGCUGCCAUGAAGAAGCUUCAGGGGAAAGAUCCGGCAGGUCAAAAAAUGGUUCAUCAUCGCCAGUUGAAGCUGAGCAAUUGGAUGAUUCUUGAACAUUUUCUAAUGCCAAAUUCGUUGAAGAAUGAGAAAUGAUUGUGGUGGCUUCAACUUCAACGGCGGUGCCGUGAUUGUGGUGGCUGACGGUGGUGGCAGGCUUGGAUGUCCUUAGGUGAAGCGGAGAAGGGUUGAGGGAGUUCAUGAGCUAAAUGAGGGAAAUUGAGAUAAGCUGAGUGGCCUUUAAGGGCUAAGGCUGCUACAUCGUGAGCUCGAGCUGCCAUUUCGGCUCUGGGAUAAGUUCCCAGCAAUAUUCUUGAUUUCUUCUUUAGCUCUCGAAUUUCAGACACCCAUUUCCCCCAACUCCGCUUCCCCAACUCGGCUCUGGGCGUCAAUGGUCUUAAAACUGUUCAUGAUGAGUUCCUGCUUCAAUAUUAUAACCAUGUCACGCUUGAAGACAAUCCAGAGAGGCUUGUCCUGGAUAACAGCAAUAGGGUCAUCAUCCCGAUGAUCAGUGACAACAUAAAAUCGGCCAUCACGGCCUCCAAUGGCGUUGUGCCCAGUUGGGGUCACAACGCCAGCAGUCGUCAAUUGGGUUACCGGUUCCGCACGAGAAAAAUCCAAGUUUUCACCUCUCAGUGCUGUUCCAAGUAGCCGAGCCCCCAUCCAUAAAACUAAAUGGAGACUGGAAUAUACAGAAACCAAUUUCACACUCUGGAGCAAUCCUCGAGAUCAGUUCACAUAAUUAAAUUACGAUCUACUCAGUUGAUUAACAUGAAUAGAGACGGUUGAUGGUAGAAAUGUGAUUAAAAAAUAAAAACCAUAGCUAAUGGACUAAAAGAAUAAGUGCUAGAAAAGACCAUAAAAGAGGAGACAGGAGAUUGCUUGCCUGGAUUUCCAGCGUCGGCGAUGAGGCAAAGCAGUAAAAACAGUAUGGAAGUGGCCAUCGUCAUCUCAACACGCAGAAGAUGGUUUGAGUUAUGAAAGUGAGAGAGAUGGUUUUUUAUCUCAUCACCGUGAAGAUGGCUGAAGAGGGAAAUAUAUAUCACGCACCCUCUCCUUCACGUGGCCGAACAACAAGGUCACGUGACCGAUCAACUUUUGAUUUUGAUUUUUUUUCUUAUAACUAGAAAAUUUAUAGUGAUCUAGUGAUACUUUAUCACUAGAAAAAAUAGAAAUCAAACGAUACGGUAUCACUAGAAAAAUGAUAAGGUAUCACUAGAAAAGUAUCAAACCUGAUAAGGCAAACUUGAGCAAGAGACAUGUGCAUCAAGCCACAUCCCCCCACUCCCCGGGCCCUCCUCUAUCUCUCUCUCUCGUCAAGUGCCAUCUUUUGCGUUACCUUCACAGAGGAGAGAUAUUAAUUUGGUAUUAAUUUUUAAUCAAAAUCAAAAUCAAAAUCAAACAAUUAAUAUUAAUUACAUAUUUCAUUCUUAGAAAUGAUAGGCCACAAAGAUAAUCCAAUCACUUUCAUCUUUCAUUGUGAAAAAUGUCAUUCCAUCCACUCAUCGUCAAAUAGUUAACUCAACAAAGACUAAUUAGCACAAAACAAUUCCACCUUUCUUGAUAUUUAUGUUUGGGUGGACUUAUAAACUGAGAAACGUCCAAACAUGUUGGGCAUUAAUGGUUUGUUUGAGUACUCUUUAUUUUUUAAGAAUAAAUUUUGUAAUAAUGAAUUUUUGGAGAAUGUAUGAUUAAAAAGUUGAAAAAAAAAAUUGAAUUUAUAUAUAAAAUUAUUUUAUUGAAAAAUGUGUAAUAGAAAAAAGUUUGAAAUAAAUAAAUUAUCUGUCAAUGGGAGUUUCAUGAGCAAGCUAUCGUAAGUAACUAAUUGAAUAGUGCUACAAGGAGAGUGAGUCUCAACAAGUACAGUUGGCGAAUUUCAAGGGAUGAGCUUCCUAUUGACAACAGACACUAUCGCUAACAACCUAGGAAAGGCUUAAAAUAAUUUUUUUAAAAAUGGAAAUCAUACAAGGGCCGAGUGCUGUAUUUGAAUAGAAAACUAAAAAGUCUGAAUUAAAAAGUAAAUCUAACGAAUCCGUUUUAAGGAAACUGUAUACAACACACGGCUCCUUUCAAUACUGCUACUACCUCAACAACUAUUUCCUCUAAUUUUAUUGUUAAUGUUUCCUUUCAUUAUUUUAUUUAUACAAUUCCAACAAUAUUUCUAAUUUCCUUUUUGUAUUUUUUUUAACAGUGCCAUUGCCAUGUAUGCGUUGGUGGUUGGCUGUGUUCAAGCCAGAGUAACUAACAUUUUUAGAUGGGAGAGUAAUAUCAUUUUUACGGGCAUAAAUCCUUUUUUCUUAUUUGUUAAUACCCUGUCAAUAUUAUAUCAAUGAAAUAGCUAAACAAAAAUAAUAGAUCUCAUAACCCAAGAAACGUCCAAAAAAAUUGGGCAUAAAAAAAGGGAGUGAAUUGUCCAAAUGGUCAUUGAACUUUAUAAAAAAAUUUCAAGGGGUCACUGAACUUUAAAAAUCACCUAAAUAGUUACUGAACUUUGUAAAAUGUUUCUACGUGGUCACUGAACUUUGCAAAAGGUUUCCCUGAGAUCUUUGAAUUCAGUGACCUCUGGAAAACAUUUUGCAAAGUUUCAGUGACCCUUGAGAAACCUUUUAUAAAGUUCAGUGACUUCGUGAAAACUUUUUGCAAAGUUCAAUGACCAUGUAUAAUUCAUAUAUAAUUCAAUUAAACUUGAAAUAAUUUAUAUUCCAUAUUUAUUUCAUUAUUUGCUUAUUAUCUUUAAAAAACUAUCAUAUUAAUGCAUUAAAUUAUAAACAGUUACACGUAUAGGGCUACUAUCGAUUAUAUUCACUAUAAAUAACAUUAUUCUUCUUGAAAAUACUCAAUUUUAAUCCAUAUUAAAUAAACUUAUAUAUUUUAAAUUAAUUGAUAAUUAGACAAAUUAUGAGAGCUAACAAUGCAAGAGAAAAAUGAAACUAAAAGGUGAACGUUGGAUAUAUGUACAUGUUUAAAGAAAAAAUGUUAAUGAUAUUAAAAAGAAAGAAAUUACACAUGAAUUAAUCAUUAUCAAGAACCUUAAGUUUUUCAUUUUUUAUUUUAUUUUUAAAUACGUCGAUGGUUAGAACUGGUUUGACAGUCAAAAUUCACGGCCAGUCUAAGCAAAGAAUCUAUAAUAUGCAAAGAUUGUAUAAUUUUAUACAACAAUUGUUGGCCAUUAAUUCAGACAGAGACAAAGUGGACAAAGUGGGUUAGUCUAAUCAAUGUCCAUCAUUUUCAUGCUCAUCAAAAUCAUGAAAUACCUAGUGCGAUUUCAACGCAACAGUGUUUUAUACACUCCUGAUUAGCAUGAUCCGUACAUGAUUAAAUUCCUAAUAAGGCCCUUCGCACUAAUCCCUAAUUCCAUCUCUAUCCACAACCAAGGGCAUACUAAUCAUAGCAAUUGACGUUUUCGUAAAAUGAUUUAAGAAGGUCAUUUAUGGUUAAAAAGAAAAAAAGAAAAGAAAAAAAAAAGGCACUCCGAUUUAUACUGGAUCUUAGUUAGUAGAAAACUGACAAAAUCAACUAAUCAUAGCAACUUACCUGAAAUCUUAGUUAGUGGAAAACUGAAACUUUAUUUUUUUAUUUUUAGACCCCGUUUGUUUAUCAUUUUUGAAAGAAUGAGAAUGAAAAAUAUAAUCGUUACGGGUCCCAUACAAAAGAUAGAAAUUUAAAAUUAAUGAUUUGAUGUAAUAGAUAACGAUGAUAAAAAAAUGGAAACCAAACAGAGACUUACUUUCAUUUACUCUGCUUUUUUUGUUUACAGUAAGGAGCACUGAAGGUUUGAAAAAGAGGUAGCUUUGGGAUCUUAACAGUUUAAAUAAUAAAGGCAGAAAUUAGGUUUGACUAAAAUUCUGUUUUUCUCGCCCAUGUUGUCCCAUUCUCAUUUUCGAAGAAUUUAAAGGAAGUAAAUGAUACCAAUAGCUCCCUUUCCAUUUGUGUAAAAAUGAUUGAAGAAAGGGUACAUCAUGUUCAGAUCAAAAAAUUAUGUAGACAAACCCAAAAUGUCCGAUACUAUGACAGGGUGAUGUGAUUAUAAAAAAGAUCAAAUGUUUAGAGAAGUAUCCGAUUGAAUUGAGGUUACUUGAGGCUUCAAACUUCGUGACUAUAGACAAUGCAAUAUUUUUACAUCUUAAAAAAUUCCAACAUAUGUUAUUUCUUUCUUAAUUAUAUCUAAUCUUACAAUUGAAUACAUUGUAUUAAAGCUAACAUAUACUAUAAAUAAUAAAAAACUAUGUUAACCGCUAAAUCAAAUGUUCUACUAAAAUUAAAUCUGUGAUGAUCAAGAAGAGCGUAUUCCCACGUUUCAUGCUAGUGGGCUCGACUCGUGAAAAACAAUGUGAACUCGAUUCGGUCUAUUGCUCGUCUCCAAACAAGCUCAAACUGCCAUAAACUGAACCAAAUUGAGUGAGCUUGGCUCAUUUGUUACUCGGGGAUAAUGAUAAUCUUGCAAUCACGAUUUUGUUCUUAUUUCUUGAUAAUUAUGUUUGGUGGACAUAUAUGCUGGUCCACCUGGUUCACAACCAAGAAAGGUCCUACACAUGUUGGGCAUAAAAAUAAAAACAAAAAUAAAAAAAUAAAAAAAAUAAAAUGGCGGUUUGUUUUUGAAGAAAGAAAAGGAUGAGCAGCAUUUUCUUGUUUUCUCAGUUGACUAAUUCAUUUACCAUGUCAGAAUUCUUAAAAUUUACCAACAAUUCAUCAUGAAAAUUGUAUAAAAGUUCUCUAUAAAGAGUAUUUCCAAAAAUUAAAACAUUGAUUUUGCUUAUAUAUAGGUGGGUUUCCACCUGCUUACAAAAGUAUAUAUUUAAAUUAGUUCUUUUUAUUAAACUAAUUUUCAAUCCAAAAUAGGAAUCAUUUGCAACAAUAAACGAGCGUUUUAGACAAUUUACAUUCUGAAAAUUAUUAAAUUGCUCAAAUAAUUCUUACGUGUCAAAUUCCAAUGGAUUCUGUGAAGAAAUUACAUUAAUCUCAAUACAGAAAAAAAAUUUGGAUGUGUAUUAUUUUAGGAUCAAAAUAUUGAAAAAUACUGCAUAAUUAGAUUCAUAGAUAAUUACUGCUAAUCAGUUUAUUAUCUUUUGAAAAAUACUGCUAAUCAGUUUAUUACAACUAAUGUUUCCCAAAACACUCAUAGAAUGCCAUGAUUUCCACUAUAAUCGAAAUUUCAUCUUUGCAAGUAUCUCGUCUCGGCUAAAAUAUUUUCGAUGGGAGAUUGAGAAAAAGAGACGUCAAACGGUAAAAAUUAGAGAUGUCUAAUUAGUUGGUUAGUGACUCAAGGAGAUGGCGGCUUCAAAUACGAUAUGAGGAAAAAUUAUUGUUAUACUUUAUUAUUAUUAUUAUUAUUAUUAUUAUUAUUAUUAUUAUUAUUAUUAUUAUUAUUAUUAUUAUUUUGGGUAUAGUAUGAAGGGUGCAACAGUUUUUUGGAGGAAAGGAUGAAAUUAAAAAUAAGAAAAACAAAGCAUAUUUGAAAAGUACCUUAAAAUUUUCCUCUAAGAAUAAAGUCUUCUAGAUAACAUUAAAAUAAUUCCUCUAUGAAUUAUUUAAAAUUUCAGCAUCAUCCUCGAGCUCGUUAGAAAUUUCAAAUGAGUCCCAAUUUGAUUUUAUGGCACUAAUGUUAGGCGAUUUCAUUUAUGGUAGACUCUGAUUAGCAGAUAUUACAAUUCGUUUCUGUAAUUAAAGAGACUUAAAUGACAUUCCCUCAAUAUUUAAUUUUUAUUUAUACAUUAUACCACAAAGAUAAAGCCACUUUGAUAGAAAAAUGUUGACAGAUGUUUCGAUAAAAUGAGUGUUGACAAUAUAUGAUUGGAUAGAAAAAAGCUUAUUAUAAUUUAAACUGUCCAAUAAUAUGGUACCAUGUGGCAUUAUGUCAAAGAUUACGUCCACCAUUAGGUUUCUAUAGCAUGGUUCGGAUUUAAAUUCUUGUUUUGUGUUCUUCGUCGACUAAGAGUCGAUCUGUAUCGACUGACUCUUAGAAGGUGUUAACGACUGUCAUUAAGAGUCAAUUGAUUAACGGACGAUCUUUUAACAUUUGGUUGGUUAAUUGAUUGAUUGGCUCUGAAUGUGCAUAUAUAUAUAUAUAUAUAUAUAUAUAUAUUUUUUUUUUCAUAAGAAAAGUGACAAUUCAUGUAUGCUAUUCUUUUAUAUUUUUGCCGAACAAAUUGGAAAUGUGUGGUGACUAUUCAAGUGCACUAUUUUGGGGCACGAGUUGAAUAACUAAUAUAUAUACAAUUCUCAAAUAUACCUAUGCAGAAUUCGUAUUUGAACUCUGCAUGAUUUUGUAAGGAGGGAUCCAUUGAAUUUCAUGAAGGUUUUCAAGAUUUUGAGAGCACGGCUCCUCCUUUUUUUGGUUCUUUAUUUUAUUUUAUUUUUCCCAAGAGUUUCUUUCAGUUUAGAUUUUAAUCAUUUAUGAGUAUAUAUGAGCUAUUAUAGUUGUAACCGAAGUUUUUACCAUAUAAAAUACAGUUUGUUUCACUGUUCUGAGCUUUUUAUUGAACAGCCAAUUAGUGAACUAGCUCAAUUACGAAAAGUAUUGAUAAUUCGAUAUUAUAAUUUAUUUUGUUGAGAUUCUCAUCAAUGUAAAAACUCUUCUAUAAAUAUGUUUUCGUAAAUCUAGAGUGGAGUUCUAUGGUUCACCCUGUUUACAACGGGAAUUACUAGACUCAAGAGUACGUAACUCUAUAGGACUAGAAUUUCUCACUAGGGCACUAACUGAUGUCUCCGACGCUACUAACCCAGCAAGAACAAAUUUUUUCUAUGUUUUCAGCUAGUCACUGACAAGAAUUUUAUUUAUCUAAAAGAAGUAUAGUAUCAUAUCAUAUGACAAAAUUUGUUGUUUCAUUUUUCAGAAACUUUUUCGACGAAAGGACAGGGAUCUUCCUGUAACUGGAAGAUUAGCAGCUGCUGCUUGUGCUGCCAUGGCUUCAACUUUAGUAAGUUACAAAAGAAAUAGAGACACUGAAAACUUGGUCUUGUUAUAUUACUCUUAGUAUGUGGCAUCCAUGCUAAUGUGUUUAUCAUAGUUUAUUUUCAUGAUGUGAGUUUUUCAAUUAGUACCAAGUACUUAAGUGCUGCUAGAGGCCCAUGGGAAAUUCUUGCGAACACAAAGCAAGAAUUUGACGUCCACAAUUUUAUUCGGGAUCACAAAAACCAAGUUUAUUUUACUUUCGACAAGUGUUUAUAUCUUCUGAUAUUUUGUCUGUAUAGAUUACAUAUCCUCUAGAUGUCUAAAGAUUAAUUGGCUGUUGAAGCUGGAUAUAAAACAAUGACAGAGGUAAAGCUAUUUGAUUUAUGUUAAUUUCGGGCACAUGGGCAUUCUACAUUUGAUAAUGAGUUAUAUGCAUCCUUCUCAGGUGGCCUUGAACAAGUUGAGAGAGGAAGGAGUUGCGUCCUUUUAUAUUGGUCUAGCACCUUCUCCCAUUGGAAUCGCUCCAUCUAUUGCAGUCAAUUUUUGCGUUUUUGACUUGUGAGAUUACUCUUUUAGCAAUUUACCCAAUUAAUUGCUAUUUAAGUUUGAAUAAGAGAACGUAUGGCUAAGCUUUAAAAAGAAGUAUUUGUUUGUUACCAAAUAUGCUAUUCUUACAAAAUAAAUAACUAUUUCUCACAUUGACCAUAAAAAUAUUGUUUAUCUCAACACGUCUUUACUUAAAAGGCUUCUUUUUUCUUAAGUUUAGCCAAACAUGCUCCAAGUCCAACGUAACUCUAACCCUGAAUCUGUUUUAUAAUACUAAGCCCGUUAACUAUUUCAUCAAUUUCACGUUUCUCAAAGUAGAAUCGGAAGAAGUAAAAAAAGGUAAACAUAAAGCAAUGGAUACAAAGCAUCAGGAGCGGACCCAAGGGGGUCCUGCAGGGUCAAGUGACCCCCAAAUUCUGAAAUUAACCUCCCUUUUUUUGUGGAUAAGUCAUGUUUGAUAUCGAUUGAAAUCUAAAUUAAAGUUAAUAAUUUAUUUUAAUAACAUAUUUCCAUGAAAUCCUUAACUUUUAUCAAAAUUUACUAAAAAUUUGACUUUUAUCCUCACCAAACGGGGGCAAAAUCACAAUAAAUUUGAAUUUUUUUUUUAUUUUCUCUUACUCUAUUUUACUCUCCUUCACACCAUUUAACAAAACUUUAACUCUUCUAAUUUUUUAAAAUUUUUCUACAAAUUAUCACAUAUAUUACAAAUUUUUACUUUUCAGUCAAAUUUUCAAUUAACUAGGAUCUAAAUUUGCAUUUUCUCCUAUCCUAUUUGUGUACAUAAAAUGUGUCUGAACUCAUUAUAUCUAAUUUAACUUAUAAUUAACGAAUUUUAUUUAUUUGAUUGAAUAUUGAUUAUAUGUUUUUCCUUUUGGUCAUUUGAAUUGAUUAAAGUAUUAAAUACACUAUAAAAUUUUUAAGAAUAAAUAUAAAUUUUCUUGUGAAGAGCAAAAUAUUAAUAAAAUAAUUGUUCGAAAUCAAAUGAAUGAAAAUUAUGAGCAAAAUAUUAAUGAAGAUUUAUAUUUUAAAUGUAAAUUUGCAUUUUCUCGGUUCAAGUAUAAAUCAUUCAAAAAUUAAUAACAAAAUAUUCGAUUGGUGCAAAGUUUGAUUAUGCUCCCUAACUAAAAAUUUCAACGCCCGCCGCCCCUGCAAGGCAUGAAAAUAGACAAGUACAUAAUUCAGUUUAAGGGGAGCUGGGGAGUGACUGAAAGAUAUCUCAUAAGAGAUACUUAAGUGCUUGUUUGUUCUCUAUUAUUUGUGAGUAAUGUAUUAUGAAAUAGUAAUUUAUGUUGAAAUGUGUGGUUAGAAAAGAAGGAAAAGAUUUUGAUUUAUGUGUAAUAUUAUUUUAAUAAAGAAUGUGUGGUUCAAAAUAGGUACUGUAGAAAAAAUAAUAUUGUAGAAUGUAGAAGAAUGAUAGACAAACAAAGCCUAAAACAUGAGCACCUGAACAAGUUUACACAAUACAGCAAUAAACACACUCUUAUUAUAAGCUUUCAUUGCGACUUGCAUCAGAUCAGCACAAAGGCAGUUGGAGAUAAUGAUACUGUUACAGUUUUCCCUUUCCAUCUAAGUCUUGUUAGUUGUAUAUAGUCACAGAAUAUGAUAUAAUUAAAUGAAAUUGAAAUCUUGCUAAUCAUUCACUAAACAAUGCGAUUUAGGUAUUGUGUCUCGUGAUGGCUGGCUGGGAUUGUCUAGGGGUUUUGUGCCAUAUGCAUUAAAAACUCUACCAAACAGCAGGUUUAUGUCUCUUACUUUUACAUCCUCUGUUUACGAAUCCCUCUUCCCAUUUUUUGGAAUUCUUUCCUUUCCUUCUCUGUUUGAAGGUUCUUUUUAAGUUUAGAAUUUUUGUGGUUCAUAAUUCCUUCUUCAUUUUCUUCGCAACAUAAGGCUUACAACCUUCGACUUUGUCAAGCAUUUGAUCGCAACCAAUGAGAAAGAAUUUCAAAAAAUCCUGGAGGAGAAUCGUAAGAAACAAGAUAUCACACAUUUUUGCAAUCCCCGCUUGUAUUUAUUUUGUAUGAAAUGUGGGAAUGAGUUUUUGUUAGUCAUUCCAGGGCUUGGCUUUAAAUUUUCUAAAACAAUAUGGUGUAGUGGAAGAGUAAUUAGUUCGAUUCAUCAUUGCAUAUCUUUACAUAUGCACUCUAAAACGUACAAAGAUUAAUAUAAAAGAGCAUUAUACGAAAUAAUAUGUUUGUAUUUUCUUUUGGCCAUUCCUAUAAAAAUGAAUGCAAAAGAAUAACUUCACUACGUUUAAUAUAAAAUAGCAUUACAUUAAACGACAGAUAAGAUUUAACAUCUUUUUAUUUUUAAUUACGUUCAAUGCCUUCUAUCGAGUAUGCUUGCUAUAUGUCUAACUUUACCCUUUAAUUAAUCAUACUUGAACUCCUAAUCGUGGUGGUAAGAUUUCAUAUGAAAUGUUUUAAUAAAACCAUAAAUAAACAUCUAUGUGUAGUGGUGGCAAAAGAGCCCGUCAACUCAAGGUCGCUCGUGACUUGAAUUGAAAAAUGAGAUUUGAUCGAGUCCAAGGGCAGUGUGCUAGCCGCAUGAGCACAAAUAUAGGCCGGCCUGUAUGCGGGCUUGUAUGGCCCUUCUUGUAUAAUUAAUUUUUUUAGUUUAUAAAUUUACGACCUUUGUGAAAUUUAACAACUUGCAUAAUUUAUUUUGUAGUCUGUAAAUUUAUGAUUAAUUUUUCGUCUAUUCGAGUAAAAAACAAAAAAAAUAAAAAAGCGCUAAUAACUAAUUAAAAGCGCACAUGGGCUCUCUGCUGAAAUAUGUUUGUGGACCCCCGUAAAACGUAAAUCCUUUGACCUGAUUAAAUUUCUUAUCUUUGUUCGAGACUCAUUUUUACGUUAAAAUGAAUUUUACGAUUGUUAUUUUUCGGAGAAUGCGUGGUUAAAAAAUAAGAAAAAGUUAGGAUUUACAUGUAAAUUAUUUUAUUGAUAAAAUAUGUGGUUAAAAAUAAGUAUGAAAAAAAUGAAUUAUUGGAUAAUGGGGAUCAAACCGGGGUUAGAAUGCGAAUUUUAAUUAUGUUGAUAGAAUAAGGAUAGUCUCAUUUAAGUUGGAAUUUGGCAAACAAUCCCUUUCAUCGGUAUGUUAUUUUCAACGAUUUCUUUAAUUUUUCUAUUCAAUUAAAGAGGCGUAAAUAACAUUCCCUCAAUAAUUACUUUUUAUUUCUGCUUCAUAAUAUAAUCUCCUUCAUUAUGUUAUUUUCAACCAUCACAUGCAAUAUGUAAAUUCCAUUUUGAGUUACCGGAGCUUCAACAGUCAAUGUACAGUGGUUAACAAUCUUAAUUUCACGUUUUGAGUUCAAUGAUGUGUUCUGAGACAAAUUCGUACGAGAAAUAUUAUAGUUCAAUAUCUUCAAUUUUUUAUUUUUUUUUCCAGAAAAGCUUUAAAUUACAACGGAAAUUUUAAAACCUUAUCUUUUCAUCAUUUCAAGGUUAAAUUGCGUGUUCUUUGUGCCGUUGGAAAGAUUAUUGAAAGGGAUUUCUGAAAACACCUACUACUACUACUGUGUUGGGGNNNNNNNNNNNNNNNNNNNNNNNNNNNNNNNNNNNNNNNNNNNNNNNNNNNNNNNNNNNNNNNNNNNNNNNNNNNNNNNNNNNNNNNNNNNNNNNNNNNNNNNNNNNNNNNNNNNNNNNNNNNNNNNNNNNNNNNNNNNNNNNNNNNNNNNNNNNNNNNNNNNNNNNNNNNNNNNNNNNNNNNNNNNNNNNNNNNNNNNNNNNNNNNNNNNNNNNNNNNNNNNNNNNNNNNNNNNNNNNNNNNNNNNNNNNNNNNNNNNNNNNNNNNNNNNNNNNNNNNNNNNNNNNNNNNNNNNNNNNNNNNNNNNNNNNNNNNNNNNNNNNNNNNNNNNNNNNNNNNNNNNNNNNNNNNNNNNNNNNNNNNNNNNNNNNNNNNNNNNNNNNNNNNNNNNNNNNNNNNNNNNNNNNNNNNNNNNNNNNNNUUUGGGGGGGGGGGGGAUGGGUUCGAAAUUCAGUAUAUAGAAAGAAUGAGCAUACAUACCUUAAAAAGUUUUGAUUACAUGUUUCGAUUUUCUCCUAAAUACAAAUUAAACUAAAGAUGCUGAAAAUUUUCAAAUAUAUAUAUUCUACAUCAUGAAAUUUAGAAACCCUGAAAUAUACAUGUAUAUGGACUAUUACACGACAUGCUAUUCAUUAAAAAUAUCUAAAGCUUCAACAUAUUUGAUCAAUACGUCAAUUCUUGGAAUUCUCAUACCUCACUCAAUUUCAAGCUUGGCGGACGGAGAAGCGACAAUGCUAAACUCGAUUUCUCCCGUCGGCCCAUUAUGAUUAUUUGCAGCUUCUUCUUCGUGGUUCUCCUUUUCAUUCAAGUGGGUUCUUCUCGGCCAAUACUUUCGAAAUAGCUUAUGGAGGCCUAUUACUAUCAGUAUUAAGCUGGUGGCAAGUGUGAUUUUAAUUGAAAUAGAGAUAUGGAUUACUGAUUGCUAGCUCGGCAAGUCCAUUGCUCUGUAAAAAAUUCAGGAAUUAUAUAUAGAUAAAAAUCACACAGGGAACAUCGUAAAGGGGAAAAAUAAAAAUGUGUCUCUGUUAUUUUCAUAAAUAUAACUCAACUUAUUAAUGGUAGAUCGUGAAUUCAUUAUCACAUAAGAAAAGACUAAACACAACCUUAUUCACUAAGUAUUGCUCACAAGAUAAUAACAAAGAAUCAAGUAUCGCUUCGAGGAUAUAUAAUGACAUAAAUUAACAUGAAUAUGGACAUGAUAUGGGAGGUGAGAAAAUGUAAUAAGUAAGAUAAAAAAAAUAAAAGGAAAGAGCAUGCUUGCCUGAAUGUGUACGGAAACAAGAAGAUAGGUCUUCUGCCUUGAGUCUCUUUAGCAUUUUAUAGCCAUGUAAUUUUCUAAGGGUAAGAAAAGCAACUUUGCUGUUAAGGAAUUUUAAUUACAAGAUUUUGCUUUAAUUACAAGAUUUUGCUGUUAAGAAAUUCUAAGGGUAAUUUUGGUCCAUUGAUGUGGAAUCAUUAAAAGUUAAGGAAAUUUUUUAUUUUUGCUGCAACGCAAAGGUCGAGUAAGGAAGAAUAUAUCCAAAAAGGUGGUGACCAAGGGACAGGAUUGUGGAGCAAUUCUGAAAAAUGAAUGUUACUUAAAAUAUUCACCUGUUUGACCUCGUUCUUUAAAAAAAUAUAUCUUUAAAUAGUAAUUAAAUAUCAUUUAAUCACAUGUUUUUCAAUAAAAUAAUAUUAUAUAUAAAUUUAAUUAUUUUUUUAUUUUUUAAUUACACAUUUCACGUCAAUACACAAUUUAAAGGUGCAUUCUAGUAAAAAUAAUGUGACUAUUAUUAAUGUUAUAAAAUAUAACCAUCAAUAUUAUUGACCGCACGUGAUAUGCAAAAAGAAUAUGGAUUUCUACAACUGUCAGUCAGAAAAAGGGCAGAAGGUCAAGUUUAAGUUAGUCACAUCACAAUGUGGGGCCCACUGUUUGAUGAUGAUAAAAUGUCUAUCUUACGAAUCAUGCAUGGCGGUUUCAUAUUCUCGUGCAAUUGAAAUCUUUUUGCUUUUUGCUUUUUUGCUUCAACUCAUUGAGAAACAAAUGAUGACUCCAUAAAUUCCAAAUGUUAAUAAUUACUUCGACAAGAAAUAAAUUCAUGAUUUUACUUUAAUAAUUUAUUUUAAUUACAUAUUUAUUAAAAAAUUUAUUUUUAAUCUCACAUUUUUUUUUAAUAAAAUAAUUUUACACCUAAAUACAAAAUCUUUCUAUUGAGCACGCAAUUUGGCCUUGCAAUGAAGAAAAUAUAAGAUUUUAAAUUUUCUGUUGUAAUCUAAAGUUAAAGAAGAUGAAGAACAGACUUAGAAGUCCAUUUGCAAUCAAGAUGGCCGACACAAAAAAAAUCUUAAUUCCUCCAUUAAAUAUAUUUAAGAUGUGUAGUGUAAGGUUUUCUUUUAAUUUGCAUGCCCAUAAUAUUGAGCCCUGUUUCAGCCACAUUAUGCCCCCGUUUGGUCUUCGUUAAAUUUUAUUUUGUUAUGCGUUGAUACGUUUGGCUGACCCAUUGGGGCCCAUGGGCCACCCAGGUCGAACCCCGUGGCACGGUAGCCGAGGCCCUUAGGCCGAUGAAGAUUGUUGAAAGGGAUUUCUGAAAACACUUAGUGCAGUACUACUAGGGGGAUCGAAAUUCAGCAUAUAGAAAGAAUGAGCAUACAUACCUUAAAAAAAGUUAUGGGUUAAUGUUUCGAUUUUCUCUUAAGUACAAAUUAAACUAAAAAUGCUGAAAAUUUCCAAAUAUACAUGUUCUACAUCAUGAAAUUCAGAUACCCUGAAAUAUACAUGUAUAUGGACUAUUACACGGCAUGCCAGUCAUUGAGAAUUUCUAAAGCUUCAACAUAUUUUAUCAGUACGUUGAUGGCAUGGCGAAUGGAGAGGCCACAAUGCUAAGCUCUAUUUCUCAUGUCGGCCCAAUAUGAUUAUUUUCAGCUUCUUCUUCGUGGCUCUCCUCUUCAUUCAAGUUGGUCCUUCUCUGUCGAUAUCUUCGAAACAACUUAUGGAGGCAUAUUACUAUUAAUAUUAAGCCGGUCGCAAGUGUGACUUUAAUGGAGAGAGAGAUAUGGAUGACUGGUCGCUGAUUCGACAAGUCCAUGGCUCUGUAAAUAAGGAAUUAGAUAUAGACAAAAAUCAUACGAGGAACAUCGUAAAGGGAGAAAUAAAAAUUUGUCUCAGUUGUUUUCAUAAAUAUAACUCGACUUAUUAAAUCGUUAAUGGUAGAUCGUGAAUUCAUUAUCACAUAAGAAAAGGCUAAACACAACCUUAUUCACUAAGUAUUGCUCACAAGAUAAUAACAAAGAAUCAAGUAUCGCUUCGAGGAUAUAUAAUUACAUAAAUUAGCAUGAAUAUGGACAGGAUAUGGGAGGGGAGAAAAUGUAAUGAAAAAUUAGCGUAAUGAAUAAAAAUUAUAAGACCAUAAAAAAUAGGAGGAAGGAGCUUGCUCGCCUGAGUGUUGAGGAAAAGCACUACGACCGUAUGAAUGAAGAAACACUGUUUAUAUAAGGUCAAAAAUAUUUGGGUUCGGGAUUUGGAUUCCCCAUCUUAAAGGGAAGGGGAAAUUAGUGAUGAGAAAGAACAAAAUUCCCAAAAGAUAUUCAUUCUUUUGGUGGAGAAAAAAUGGAUUUACAAAAAGGAUUUAUUCUUUGGGUGGUUUAGUGUCCAUAAUUUACAAAAGAAUGUUAUUCUAAGUUUAAAAGAUAGCAACAUCUAAGUGUGGUGAAGCUUCUUCCAAUUAUAGACUUCUACAGUAAAUGAAAACAUGCAGGGUCUCUUUGUUUACUGUCUGUAUUUGAAGACGAUUAUUUGCUCAAUUGCCUCUAUCUCAUUCAUUUUCCUUCUCCACUUUUAUUCAUUCCUAGUUAUAGUUAAACAUGCAUUGCAUGUUAUUCUGAAAUGUUUUAUGGGUGCUAUAAAAAUAAUUGUAAGAUGUGAUAAUAUAAAAAAUAAUUAAUACGAAUUGUUUAUGUGGAAUAGGGAUGAAUAUGGUUUGGUUCAAUUUGAUUCUUUUUAGAAUUGAACCAAACCCAAAUUUUUCGAGUAUUUAGUAAAUGAAACCGUCAAAUCCUAAUUUAAUUAUGGAAUAUUUCAGAUUCGAUAAGUUAGAACAAGUUAGCACAAGUUCUAAAGUGGUGUCUAAGCACAAGUUCUACUAGCACAAGAUAGCAACACUAUACACUUCAAGUUAAAUUAGAACAAGUUAGCGCAAGUUCUGAAGUGCACAAGCAAGUUCUAACUUGUACUUAGUGUCACUACCUACUAGCACAAGAUAGCGACACUAUACACUACAAGUUAAAAUGAGAUUUAGAAACUUUUAGUACUUUAACGACUUUUGAAUGGUAACUUUUAAAACAUUCAAAUCAUUUUUUCAGGUUUUUCUUUAUUUUAAUUUUUCAAUUUCGUUUUUGUUUUAAUAUGGACUCUUUCAGCCAGUCUUUUUAACUCUCUUCUCAAAUUUUUUUAUUAUUUUAAUAGUCAGUGUACUAUUACACAAAUCAUUUAUUUUUCUCUAAUAGUUUAAGGACACAUUUGGUGUAACUUUUGUUUUCACUUUUACUUCUUAUAAAAGAGCUUUUAGAGGAAGUUACCAUAAGAAGUGCUUUUAGAGAAAGUUAUAUUGAACUAACUUCCUCUAAAAGUUUUUUAACAACCAAAAGUACUUUAACAAACUUAGUCAAAAUGGUGCAAAAGUAACUUUUGGCUCUCAAAAGCUCAUUUUAACUUUUCAAAAGCAAUGGUAUUUGGUAUUGUGAUUUUUCAAAUUUUAAAAUUACAUUAUAUUCGGUUGUUAUUAUUGGAAAAAUUGAUUUUGAGCGAGCAACUUUGAGCUCAUAUUAGAGUGGGACUCAUACACUGAAAUUAAGGAGACUAAGCAUAUUCAAAUUUCAAUCCCAAGAUAAUUAACAUGACAUUUAUUUGUAAAAAAUUAUUAAGUUUUGAUUGAAAUAUUUCGAUUCAAAGUUUCUUGCUUGGAAUUUUAAGUAGUGAGAAUUUGAUUGAAUUACUAACUUUUGUCACACGUAGGAAUGCACAUGUGCAAUAAAACUAAAUGGUGAAAGUCGAUUAUAUAAAUGUUGUAGUAAAGAAAAGUGUUGUUGCAUAAAAAAAAACAAAAACAAAAGAAUACACACAUGAAUUAAUCAUAAUCAAAGAAACUUGAGUUUUUUGUUUUAAUAAAUGGAUAGUUCAGUCUAAUUUUGAGAGAUUAAAUACACAGUUAUUGAAUUACUAACUUUUGUCACACGUAGGAAUGCACAUGUGCAAUAAAACUAAAUGGUGAAAGUCGAUUAUAUAAAUGUUGUAAUAAAGAAAAGUGUUGUUGCAUAAAAAAAAACAAAAACAAAAGAAUACACACAUGAAUUAAUCAUAAUCAAAGAAACUUGAGUUUUUUGUUUUAAUAAAUGGAUAGUUCAGUCUAAUUUUGAGAGAUUAAAUACACAGUUAAAAAGAAUCUAUUGUCAACACGGGCCGAAAAUAAUCUUAACCUUCUUCUUUAUGAAAUUCAUUGGCUUAUCAUUUACUAAUAUUCGCUCUGGCACAUGGAUAUGAUAGUAGUAUUACUUUUUAGUUUUUGUAUGUAAAGAAGCUUCAUCAUGAUACAAAUGUCACACAUAACUGAAUUUAUUUCUUGACAAAGUAACUACUGGAAUUUGAAAUUUAUGGAGUCAUGAUUUGAUUCAAUAAUGUAAAGCGAAACCAAAAAGAUGUUAAUUGAAUUGUUGAGAAAAAGUUAUUAAUUUAACAUGUGGGCCUUCAUAUAUAAUUAAUUGUAUAUAAGGCUAUGUUAAAGUUAAGUCCAAAAUUUAAGGUAAUUUAAUAAAGAAUGGAAAAAACACAUAAUUACUAAACUAUAAGAAUCACAUUUCAUAAUAGACAAUUUUAUAAAAUAGUUUCAAAAAUCAGGUGGUAAUGCAAAAUAAUAUUAUAUAAUAAUAUACAAACAUGCUCACUCUAUUUACAUCCACAAAUUCAUUCACCAUAUAUCCAUCUCACGGUAAUCCCACCAACCCCAUUUUCUUCCAAAUUGAAAUCUGCACCCACUUUCUCUUUCACAAUUUUUCACCAUUUGCAUGUUCAAAAAUAUUGUACAAAUAAAUUAAUUCAUAUGCAUGUAGAGCGCUCUAAAGAACAAGUUGAAUAAGGAAAGAAUUUAUAAACAGUUAUCUUAUUUCUAGUUAUUGUAAACAGUUUCUUAUUUCUAGUUAUUUUAAUUUCAAGUUUUUGGCAUAACUCGCCUUUUGACCUCCCAGUACAAAAAAUAUGAUCGUUGGCGGUUUGAAUUUUGGUGAUAUUUUGAAGUGUUUCACUCUCUUAUGGCUUGGGUUUUUGCACCUUUCGUGAAUGGUGAUUAUACUUGUACAUAUAUGAGUGGUUUUCACGUUGAAAAAUAUAUCACAAACAUCAAAUUCAUUCAUCAACAAUCAAAAUCAAAUAUUAAACCAGUUUUUUACAAUUUUGUUCUUUAGUUCAUUUUUCCAAGUUUUGAUUGCUUGAUUCAUACUUAGAUUAAGGUUUGUUUACUCCUACAAACUGUUUAUCAUUGAAAUCUUCAAGCACUUUUCCUGGUGGCGGCAAAUAUCGUUUGAAGACAGCGAUUCAUAAUCAUGUUCAAACCUUCAAUUUUGACAAUUUCUUGUUGUUGGUUUUAUUUUCUUUCUUCAUCAAUUUUGUUCAACACAUCAAGAAUGACAUCCUCUUAGGUGGAAGGAAUUUGAACAGUAAGAGGAUGGAUGUGUUUAAAAUCAAUGGAAUAUAUUGCUUCCAUGUGGAAGAGUGUCAAACUUAUUGUUAACCAUGAUGUACAUGUAACACAUUUGUUUCAUCUUUUCACUACUAUAUAAAAAGGGCAAUGUUUCACUACUAUAGAAAGAACAGUAGAUUCUUCCAUUUUGUCUCACUGUAGCUUUUUUUUUUAUUGAGAGGAAGCAACGACGUCGUUUAUCUUACGUGUUUGAUACAGUGACUUUGUUGCUUUUCCUCAAUUUACGUGGCAUGGAGGAUUAUGUCAUAGAGCCCUAUUUAAUUUUUCUCCAUUUUUACACGAUACAGCCAUGCCUCUUUAUUUCUCCACACUAAUUCAAGAGUAAAAGUGUGAAUUCCAUAAAUAUAUGAUUGAAAAUAUGUUUAAAGAAAAAUAAAUUUUAAAAAAUGAAGACCGAAUAUGUUAACAAAUGAAUAUAUUUAUUUUUCGAAAAAUAAGUUUUUUAUUACCAUUUCAUUUUUAUCGUGAAAUGAUUCUUUAAUAUGUUAUAUUGUGCUUCGAAAUUACAUAAUCUAUCAAAUAUAAUUUUUAAAAUUAAUUUUUAUAAAGUAAUAUGUUUUUAUGAUUUUUUUUUUUUUUGUACAGUAAUUUUUUUAGUAAAGUAAAUGGAGGCUCGUGUUGAGGCCUCCGUUAUUACGAAGGCCUCCAGAAUUCUGGAGGCCAUGAGGCCUCCAUAAUUAACAUGGAGGCCUCCAUGUUGAGCCUCAAUAACAUUUUAUUUUUUUAAAUUAAUAAAAAUUUAAUUAUUUUAUAUUUUUUAGUACUAUUAUAUUUCACUUUAAAAAAAAUCAUAAAAAUAUAUUACUUUAUAAAAAUUAAUCUUAAAAAUUAUAUUUGAUAGAUUAUGUAAUUUUGAAGCACAAGCUAACAUAUAUUAAGAUUAGAAUCAUUUCAUGAUAAAAAUGAAAUGGUAAUAGAAACUCAUUUCUCGAAAAAUAAAUAUAUUAUUUUGUUAACAUGUUUGGUCUUCAUUUUUUAAAAUUUAUUUUUCUUCAAACAUAUUUUCAAUCAGAUAUUUAUGAAAUUCACACUUUUGCUCUUGAAUUAACCCCCUCAAUAAAUUAUUAUUUAAACGGUUCGUAAACAUUUUGAUUGAUAUUAUUUUUUGGUCAUUCAAAUAGUUUUUAUAUACCUUUUACGUACAUAUAUAAAAAUAAUGUUUUUAUUUAAACUUACUUAUGUGUUCAAAAAUAAACUUUCUCAAGCACGAGCCUUCGUAAUUAUGGAGGCCAACACAUAAUUAACAUGGAGCCUCCAUAAUAUUUUAUUUUUUAAAAUUAAUAAAAAUUUAAUUAUUUUAUAUUUUUUAGUACUGUUAUAUUUCACCUUCAAAAAAAAAAUCAUAAAAAUAUAUUACUUUAUAAAAAUUAAUUUUAAAAAUUAUAUUUGAUAAAUUAUGUAAUUCCAUGCAUCCUGCGUUAAUAUAAUGAACUAAAUAAUCAGAUUUUACCAAAUACUUCAAAUCUUCAACCAAUGUUGAAAAAUCUACAAUUUUGACGCUAAUAAAAAUACAAUAAAUACAAAACUCGUGCAACGCACGUGUCAAAGACUAGUAUUAAUUCUUAGUUUGAAUAACCUCCUUUCGAACGUAAAUCUUAGUUAAUAGCAAAUUGCAACAUUUAGUAUCAAGUACAAUAACUUACUUUUAGAAAUUGCAGUGGUAGAAUAUCAAAACAAACAAAAGAAUUUGAGAAGACUUAGGGUCUGUUCUCUUUGUUGUUUUCAUACCAUUUUCAGUUUUUAAUUUUUGAAAACACUGAAAACACGUUUACUUACCUAUUUUCAGAAAUGAAUUUUCGAAAACGCGGAAAAAAAUUACAAAGAAAACGCAAAACGGCCUUUUAAUCGUUUUGGCUGUUUUUAGUAGAAAUCAAGCCAAAACUUCAAAAUGCGGAAAACGCGGUGUUUUUUCAAAUAACAGGAUAGCUCAGUUGGUUGAAUCACGAAUAUUCUUAAGGCCAAGAGUUCAAUUCUGUUUCACCGCAAUUUAGUACAAAGGAAUUUUCUUUUUAUAUGCACAGUACAAGAAAUUUGAAUUAAAUUUCGCGUUUUUUUCUUAUCAAUAACCAAAUAGCUCGGUUGGUAGAGUCUUGGAUUUUGAGAUGGUCAUGAGUUCGAUUCCACUAGUCUACUUUCAAUACAAAGGGAUUUUUUUUUUUUAAUUUUAUUAUUUUUAGUGCACAAUAUAAAAAUCUUUCAAAUAAAUAGGUAGACGGCCAAGAUUCGAAACCUGGUUACCAACAUGGACUUUUAAUGCCUUAACCACCAUGGCAAUUGCUUUUACUUUGUUGUAUAAGUAAAUAAACUAUAUAUAUAUAUAUAUAUAUAUAUAUUGAAUUAUUGCUUUUACAAUUUUUCAAAACUAGAAAGUAAACUCGUUUUUUAAUUUUCUAUUUUUGAAAACAAUUUUUCAAAAUAACUAAAAGAAGACGUUUUCAACAAUCUUAAAAUAGACACUCAAAACACAAAAUUCAAAAUAAAUUCAAAACUCGAAACUAAAAUCUAAAAUACAAAGAGAACAGCCCCUUAAUGAUUGUUGGUUGGGCGAGUCCAUGGCUCUGUACACAUUAGUGAGUAAUUGAAAAAUUAAGAAUUAUAUACAAAAAUCACACAGGGAAGAUAGUAAAGAGAAAAAUAUAAAAUUUUCUCAAUUCUUUCAUAAAUAUAACUCGACUUAUUAAUUACAAAACAUUCAUGUACUUGUUUCAACACAUACAUGAAUGAAGCUGAAUAGAAUAAGGAUUUUUAGUAUUAGAUUGAGAGUUAACAUGAGAGGAGUGAUGUUUAUGAUUGCGAAUCAAAUUCGGUAAAACUCUAUCUAAACAUACAAAGACUGUCAUUCAAUUUUGCUACAAAUCUGCAAGUAGACCAUAACGGGGAAUAAAUAAGUGUUAGAAACAAAUUAAACUAAGCAUUAUUUCUGAAUAAAUUGAAAGAUUAAGUUUCUAUAAGAGGUAAACUAAACUAAGGAUAAUUGGUUGGAAACAGAGUUCAUUUUACAUAAUUGGAUUACAAUCUACUCAAUUAAUGGGAUGAGAGGAAAUUAAUAAAAAAAACAUUAGCUAAGGGACCAAAUUUAAUCAUCCUUGAUUAAAGUUGAAGAUGGGCAAAGGGAGGCAGGAGAGACCAGAAAUGUUGGUUGCUCAAUCAUUGGCCAUGGUCCUGCAACCAAAUCUUAAUUCCAGUUAAAUAUAGAUCAUCCAAAAAUCAACAAGAAAAUGAUAACUUAAGAUAUAAGAAAUUGGAGGCUAUAACAUGUUUAUGGGCCUUGAUUAAUGGAUUAAUAAUACAGCAUCUGGAAUCAAUUUAACAAGAAGAAUUCUUCAACUCUUGAAUUCAUCUUAUUGCUCGACUGAUCUCUAGCUUUUUCUUCCUAUACGAUCAAGAAAUCCGGGUUAAUGCCAAACUCAAGAGAGAAUUCUACGUUUUUUCCGAAAAAUCUCUGGUUCCACCUUUUUGAUCUCCUAGGCUUAUUGUAUUUAUAGAUUAACUCAAAAUCAAACAACUCAAGCCCCAACAUACCCAUAACAUCCUUAAAAUCACGUUUUUCAAAAUUUGGAGUCGUCUUUGCAUUAAGGAGCCAUACGUACACAUAUCAAUUAAAUAUUAACAGGAAGUGUUUAGUUUCAUAUUCCAAGACACUAGAAGUUUUCUCCAGUCCAAGGUCGAUUCCAUUAGUUUGAUAAAGAAAAUGUAUUUUACAAUAGUACAAAAUAUAGUAAGCUAGGUUAUUAGCACAAAACAUCCCAAUGUUUGAAGUUUAUUGUACAAAACGUUCCCAAUUUUCAUUUUCACUUCUAUUUACAUCUUUCAUUACGGAAAUCAUCAUUUUUAUCUAUUUUCAACAAAUUGCUCAAUUAAAAGUUUUGAAAUGACGAAUAUAUCAUCUUUUUUAAAAUAAAAAUAAAAGAAAAAAUAAAUAAAUAACUAAUUCCAAUCAUAGUCUUAAAAAAAUAAAUUACAAAUGAGUCUCAAAUACAUAAUUAAAAAUCAAAAUGAUGAUUUUCACAAUAAAAUGUGUAAAUAGGAAUGAAAAUGCAAAGAAAUGCAAGGUUUGGGGGGCAAUAGUAAAUAAUUCUAUUCAAUGACGCUGCAGUUUUAUUUUGACACGCCAUCUCAAGAUUUUGACACGCCAUUUUAAUGAUUUAUCCAUUUUCAUACACUACUUCGUUUUCAAUUGAUUACAGGCAAUACUAUUAUAUUGUAUAAUAAAAGAAAUUGGAGAGAAAAAUAGAAAUAAUUUAUUAUGAAGCUAUUAAAUUAUAAUAAAUGAAAAUGAUUUAAACAAAUAUUUAAUUUAAAUUUAACGAUUGUCGUUCUAUCAUGAAGAAUGUAUAAAGAUUAUUUUAUUAAAUUAAAUGAAACAAAUAAAAUAAAGGAAAGUUACAAAAAUUAAAUAAAUAAUAUAUAAAUAUUUUAUAAACAAAUAAAAUAAGAAAAGUUACAAAAGUUAAAUAUAAUAUUUUUAUUAAUUAAAAUUGAAAAAAAUAAUUUUUUUAUACCAACAAAAUUAUCCCUCCAUAAAAAAUAAAAUUAAAAAGAAAAAGAAAAAGAAAAACUCUCCGUGGACGGAGAGAAUCUCUCCUUUGAAAAGGAGAGUAAAAGCAGUUGACUUUUCAUCAGAAGAGAGAACUCUCGUUUUAUGGAAUGAAACCACUCUGUACACAGAGUGAUUCUUUAUUUCUAAAAUGUAAAAAGUUGUUUAUAACUAAAAAGAUCAUUUCAAGUUAUUUAAAAGUAAAACGAACUUAUAAUUGUAAAAGUUACUUAUGAGUAAAAAAAUAUUAACUUCAAAUUUUUUAAAUAUAAAUAUUUAGAUAUAUUUAGUUUUUUAAAUUAAAUAUUAAGAAAAAGUUACACUAUCUGUAACUUAAAAAGUUACUUAUAAGUAAAAAAUCACAUAAAGAUAUUUAAAAAUAAAAUAAAAAAUUUAUAAUUAUAAAAGCUACUUACAGGUAAAAAAAUAUUAGAUUCUACAUUUUUAAGUAAAUAUUUAGAUAUAUUUAAUUUUUUUAAAUUAACUAUUAAUAAAUAAAUAAAAAAGAAGGUGACCCCGUGCACUCCCACGAUCAUGGAGUGAUAUCACUCCAUGCAAGUUUUCUUUUUCUUUUUUGUUUGUUUUUAUUUUUUUAUAGUAAUUUUUUAUUAAUUGUUAAUUAAAAAAAUUAAAUAUAUCUAAAUAUUUACUUAAAAAUGUUGAAGCUAAUAUUUUUUAUAUAUCUAUAAGUAGUUUUUACACUUAUAAGUUUCUUUUUAUUACUUUUAAAUAACUUGAUGUGAUUUUUUACUUAUAUAUAACUUUUUACGUUCUAGAUAGUGUAACUUUUUAUUAAUAUUUAAUUUAUAAAACUAAAUAUAUCUAAAUAUUUAUACUUAAAAUAAAAUUAAGUUAAUAUUCAUUUACUUAUAAUUAGCUUUUGCAACUAUAAGAUUAGGAGGGAUUAAUAUUUUUUGAAAAAAUUAAGUUCAAUCGUAAAUAAAGAGAAAAGAAUUCAUACAAAUUUUAAAUAGAAAAAAAUUAUCUAUAUAUUUAGUUUUUUAAAUUAAAUAUUACACUAUUUAGAACAUAAAAAGUUACUUAUAAAUAGAAAAUCACAUCAAGUUAUUUAAAAGUAAUAAAAAAACUUAUAAGGGUAAAGCUACUUAUAGAUUAAAAAAUAUAUAUAUAUUAACUUCAAUAUUUUUAAGUAAAUAUUUAGAUAUAUUUAUUUUUUUAAAUUAACUAUUAAUAAAAAAUUACUAUAAUUUGAAAAGAAAAAAAGAGGUAACUGUGUGAAAGGAGAAUUUUUUUCUAUUUAAAUUUUUUUCAAUAUUAAUUUUUUUCCUCAUCUUGAAAGAGAGAAUGUGAAGUUUAUUGUUAAUUUUUAUCACAUUGGUUUUCACAUUAAAUUUGUUUUAAACUAUUUGGUCUUUGAAUUUGACACAUAAUACUUUUUUACCAUUUUCUCACGCUAUCAACUAUCAACCAUAUCCAAUAAUUUUAUUAGUAGCAAUAUUUUUUAAUAAUGUUUUUGUCACACUGUAGCUUUUUUUUAAUCGGUGGAACAGAAACGACGUUGUUUUCUAUUUUACCUGCAACUUACAUACUUUGAAUCUGACACACAGUACUAUUUCUCCAUUUUCUCAGGUUAUUAAUUAUCAACUAUAUCCUAUAAUAUUAUUAGUAAUAAUAUUUUUAAAAUAAUUUUUACGUAAAAGUUAUUCUUUAUUUCUAAAAUGUAAAAAGUUAUUUAUAACUAAAAAGAUCACUUCAAAUUAUUUAAAAGUAAAACAAACUUAUAAUUAUAAAAACUACUUAUGAGUAAACAAAUAUUAACUUAAAAUUUUUUAAGUAUAAUUAUUUAGAUAUAUUUAGUUUUUUUAAAUUAAAUAUUAAUAAAAAGAUUACACAAUCUAGAAUGUAAAAAAUUACUUAUAAGUAAAAAAAGCACUUCAAGUUAUUUAAAAAUAAUAGAAAAAACUUAUAAUUAUAAAAACUAUAUAUAGGUAAAAAAAUUAACUUCAACAUUAGAUAUAUUUAUUUUUUAAAUUAACUAUUAAUAAAAAAUUACUAUAAUUUUUUGAAAAAGAAGGUAAGUCCGUGCAUGGGUGAAUUUCACCGUGCACAGAGUGGUCAUGGAGUGAUAACACUCCAUGCAAGUUUUCAUAUUUUUUUGCUUUGUAUUUUUGUCUUUUUUAAUAGUAAGUUUUUAUUAAUAUUUAAUUUAAAAAAAUUAAAUAUAUCUAAAUUUUUAUUUAAAAAUAUUGAAGUUAAUAUUUUUUUAUUAAUAAGUAACUUUUAUAAUUAUAAGUUUUUUUAUUACUUUUAAAUGACUCGAAGUAAUUUUUUUACUUAUAAGUAACUUUUUACAUUAAAUUAAAUUUUAAUAACAAGAUAUUUGUAAGUGAUUAAAUAAAAAAAUCAUUUUAAGUCAUUUAAAAGUAAUAAAAGUACUUAUAUUUGUAAAAGCUACUUAUUUAUAAAUAAAAAAUAUUAACUUCAAAAUAUUUAGAUGUAUAUAUUUUUUAAAAUUAAAUAUUUAUUAAUAAAAAAAUUUACUAUAAUAAAAAAAAAAAAAUUUUAUCAACAAAGAACUAGCUAUUUUGGAAGGCUGAUGAUUUUUGUCAAACUGGCUAUGAAGAGAAAGAAGGUAGAGAUGACGAGAAGAAGGAUCCAUCGCGGCCGUUCGCUUCUGUUGGUCGAAAGGUAAAACCCUUCCUUGUUUGGGUGGAGGCAUUUUGAGUCAUAAAUCAAUGAAUAUAUCAUAAGUUUUAAUCUGCAAUUUUUGGCUAUUGGCGUCGUUCCGGUGUUGAGGUCCCAUUUAUUGCUUCGUUUGGGAAAGAAGUUGUAGCACAACCAUCUCUUUUGGCACCCAUCCUCGUAUGCACCAACAUAUCUAUUACACCCCUGCUUAUCUUUUUCUUGUUAUUUUCUCCUUUUUUUUUUUUUUUUUUUUUUUUUUUUUUUUUUUUUUUUUUUUUUUUUUUUUUUCCUUUUUUUUUUUUUUUUUUUUUUUCCUUUUUUUUUCUUUUUUUGGUUUCAUCUACACACGACCAUAGUUUCCUGUAUAAGGAUUAUUUUAGCAGCAUAGUCAAGUCAUAUCAAUAGCCCUCAUUUUUUUUUCCCUCAUUUGGGGAUUGAUAUAUAGGUAAGUGGGUUUUUAGUUUGGGAUUUCCAUGUGAUGAUUUUCAUUAUUUUCUUGUUCCUUAAGAAAAAUUUAAUCUUGAAUAUGGUUCUUAUUUGGUGUUUUUUUAUGGUCAAGAUUCCCUUUUUUCCCCCCAUGUUACACUUCAUAGAUUUUGAAUUUUUAAGAAGAGGUAGACGUUGAUUUCGAGAAGACAGUGACGUUGGGCUUCCAAACUAUAUAGAUUAAUUAUGUUGUUUUCCUUAGGUGAGAUUAUUGCUAACCCCUCUAUUAUUGAGAGAUUUUGCCACUUCAGCUUAAAUAUCUUUGUUCGAUAGGUGUUGGCAAGAAUUUCUGGUUAUAAAUAUGUUGUUGGUGUAUUCUUUUUUCAAGUUUCCUCAAGGUUUUUGUUGAAUUAUGAGGUAAGGCUGAAUUUUGGUUGUGGUAUAAAUUCCUUGCCACGUUCAUGGGAUCCUUGAAGUAUGCUACAUGGGUUAUGUCAAUAUAGAUGACUAAUAUGAUUUAUGAGUUCAGAUAUAUGCCCUUUUGAAGUAAUGACUUGUUAUAACAUGGAAUAUAAGUGGACGGACUAGCAAAAAGAAAAUGACAAGGGAAGAAUAGUUUGUUUUCAUAUAAGAGAUUUGAUGCACAAUUUGAGAAUAAAAUAAUUGUCAAUACUUAUUUGGAAUGGUUUAAAAAUCAAAUAAGAUACUCCACCUGUAUGAAUACUGUUUUGGAUAGAAGCCUGUAGAGUUUGACAUUGCGGUUAGAGGUAAUGUUAUUUUUAUCUUUUGUUAGAAUUUCCCGAUUACCACUUUAUGGGUUCAAAAUUAGAAGGCUUUCCUUGAGUAAAAAUGAAGGUGUUUCAGUUGAUGGCAAUUCUGGAAGGAAUAAGGAGAAAUCAUUGUUGGACCUGCUUUGGUUAUUGAAGCUUGGCUUUUGGUUGCCAUUUUUGUAUGUGUAUUUAUUAUUUAUCACCUUCUCCAACAAAGCCAUAAUUCUUACUAUCAGUGCUUGAUUUUAUAUUGAUCUUUAUAUACAUAGAUUUUUUUAUUUUUGUUUGUGUAGAAAUUCAUUCGCCAAGAUAGUCAAUUCUUGAACUGGAAUGGUAGAUCGAUAAGUAGAAAUUCUGGGUAUCCAAAUUGAGAUUUUUGGUGAAAAUCUUGGUUCUUAUAGGAAUCAAAUUUUGAUUAUGUUUUUCUUGGUGGGUUUGUGGUUUAUGAUGAUCAAGAUUAUUGAGAUUUUUAUUGUAUUUUAUUUUAUUUUAUUUUAUUUUACAGGUUUUGGAUUUUCAAUUUUGGGAAGUUGAUAGUAGAUGUUGAAUUGGAUAGGUGGAACAUCUAAAUUAUAUGGAUAAUUUAUGAUGUUAUCAGGUUAGGAUUUGCUUUCUGUUAUUUUAACAUAAUUAAUGUAUAGAUUGUAUUAUUUCUGGAAUUUGACUAUUGAGACAUUUUUCAUAGUUUCUCAUCAAUUCUUUCAGGCUAAAAUUGUUGUUUAAAUGAUUAUUUAUGAUAUUAAAUAGUAAAACCCAUUAUUAAUUUAUGGUCUCUCAUUUGGUUCCUUCUGGUUUUCUGUUAUUUUACAUUAGUUGAUCUAAACUUAUGUCCAUAAAAUAAAUUAGCAACGUGGUGAUGAGAUACAUCUAACCACAUUUAGGGAAAGAAGGCUACCAUGCUUGAGAUAAUCUUUAAUAAAAAAGAUUUGAUAAGAAAUGGAACAUUUAAAGCUUUUGAAAUCCAUAAAUGAAGCAUAUGAAAGCAAUGGAAUUGCAGUGGGAGUUGAAGAAAGAAAAUUUAUAAUUGAAUCAUCAUAGGCAAAUAAAAAAUAAGAUUUUGAGCAUUCUUACUAUACUAACAAAUCCCAUGCACAAGAAAUAGAUUUAACACUAUGGUCAAGUAAUUAAGUAUGCACUAAGUUUAGAUUAAAAUAUUAGAAGUGUUCUGUUAGAAGAUGACUUUUGAAAUAAUUGUAAAUAUGAACAAAAAUUCAGUUGAAUAAAUGAGUCAUGAGAAAUAGUUUGAAGAUCAAUUUCAUUCUCGUGACAAGCAUAUGAUGCAUCAUAAGAAAUUUUUGAAAGGUAUGUUGACAACUGUAAAAUCAAGUUAUGAAAAUGUCCACCAUCUUCUAUAUAUCGAUCUGAUUGUCAAUUUAUCAAAAAAGUAUCAAAGAUCUAGAUAUGGCUUGUUUAUAUAGGGCCUCGAAAGGCGAAUUAUGAAACAACCUAAUUGACUAGGAGUACCUAAUUAGGAACUAACUUUACCAGUUUAUAUAAUCCGUCCCUUAUGUGAUUGCUUCUCAUUCCCUGUCAAGUUAUUUGAUAAAUAAGGACAUUUAAAUUAAGAUUGUUUAGAUAUCAUAUUACAAAAUAUUUUAGGGGGUUUAAUUGAAAUUUUUUAACAAAGACAUUUAUGGAAGUUCAAUUGAGAAACUAACUUUCUGGUCUUUGUAUGUCUAUAUAUCAUUCAGGGGAUUUAAUUAACAUACCAACUUUCUCACCCUUGUUAUUUAGUUUUUAUAAACUUCUUCAAUAAUAUCUUAAAUCCGUAAUGUUAUUUUUUUUCUUCUUUUUUAUGUUUUUAUUUUGAUUCUUUUUUUAUUCAACAUUAUAGAUUUCCAUCAGCUCCUGUAUUUCGGAUUCAGCAAUACUUCUUCAUCACUUUCCUAUUUUAGGUGGUCUGGAUUUUGUAAGUAUAUAUUAAAACAUAAAAUUUACUCGCCAAAUUGUUGUUGAACUAGGAAGCACUUAGAUUUAUGUGAUCCCUGGUAAUGAAUUUUAGUUAUGCGGUCUUACAAUUUCCUAUCUAUUUUUGGGAAAGCAAGUUUUCAGUAAGAUCAAGUUGGAAUAUCAUUCUUUUGCAAGUUUUGGUGUUAGAUUGUGAAUUUAGCUUGAAUUGUUUAAGUUAUUAUCAUUUGCAUUGAAAUGUUGUUUAUCUCUUUAAUUCUUGAGAAUUUCUAUUCGAAUUAUUUCGUUUCAUUUGCUGGGUCUUAUACUGUGGACUCUCUAUGUAUUCAAUCAUUCUAGCACUUUUGAGCGGUCAAGCAUAAAUCUAUAUACUGAGGAUUCUCUUUCUGAAUGCACAACUCCUUUUGUUAACCUAAGAUGGUGAAGUAAUUUUGAUAUAUUCCUCCACAUUCCAUUUUUGGGUGUUAAACGAGUACUCAUCUCUGUUACAAUAAAUUCAAGUAUCUUGAUGUUGCUGGCCAGAAGAAUUCCUAACUUUACAUCUUCAAUGGUGUGGCUUAGUUCUUUGGGUUGUUGGUAUGGUCUAUAUAUUUCAUUCAACUUCAAAACUUUGCAUUUUACUCUAAAAUGUUUAGUAUUCUGCUCGUUCAUAUACUCAACAUAUAUUGCAGGGAAAUGGAAACUCAAUUUAUUGAUCAGUUGACCAUGUGUGGAUGAGUUUCUAAAAUCUGAGAUUGUUAUACACCGCCACAAAAUCUGUCUAUUGUUAUUUUUUAGCAUCUCUAUGAUUAUUUGAAAUAUUAGAGUUUUAUAAAUGAAAGACAUUUGCCUCUUUAGUUCCUUGAGAAUAAAGGGCGUUGGGAGUAGCCAUGGAAUUUAAGGAUUUCACUAGGGAAAUAGUUUGUGUAUAUAACGUUUUCAUCAGUAUAAAGUUUUUGAUGGGCCAACCAGUGCGUCAGAUUAAGAUAUUGCAAUGAAUGAUGUCAGCAGAAGUCCAGCAAAGACCUUAACCAGUGCUAAAGGUCCAAGCUUCACUGAGGGGAUUUCUAAGUCAUCAUAUGCCAAGUAAGCAUCAGAUUUGAAAAGCUCUUCUGUAAAGGUGAAUUUUUUUUUUGCUCAUUGAUAGGGGGUCCAAAUAUGAAAAGAUUUGUAUUCUAUUUAGAUUUUUUCUUUGUUAUCCCCAUCUCUCUACG
rnacentral:lncRNA from 1 species